rnacentral:lncRNA from 1 species
AGAGGAUCAUAGAACUAGCUACCACUUGACGCAGUAGAAGUACAUAGGGUUAACAACCGUUGAACCUCAAAUAAUGGAAAACAGUGUACCAGCAAUAAACCCUAGAUAGGCUUAUUUGGAACCCACCAGAAAAUAAAAGAGCUCUUGAGGCUUUUUGAUAAAUAAUAAGAUAGAUGUCUGCUACCCAUAAGGGAGCUUUUAUAUAUAUAUAUAUGAGAAAACAAACCCUAGGAUAACAAUCAAGCCUAAAACCUCAUGAAUUAAAAUAAAAUCGAAUUCAAAACAUACUAGAAAACAUAAAAUGCCGAAAAUAAAUAAAUUGUUGUUUUGAGGCCUAAAUGAACUUGGAUAGUCGAAAAAGCCCAAGACAAAUUUGACUCGUCUCGCCAUUCCCAUUCCAAAAGGGUAUAAUAUAUAAUUAAUAUUCGGACACCGAACGUCAAAUCUGUAUCAAACCGGGCUACAACGACCUUUAAUCUCCUCUGCCAUCCUCUGAUCCUCCCUACGCUCAGCAAUGAUCAAGUUUCAGAUAUUAAUUAGUAUAGUUUGGCAGUACAAGUAAGACUCCACUCCAGUACAAGUAAGCCAAAUUAAAGCACUCCUAGGGUUUAAUUCUAGCUGGCUGAUCCCCUAAAUUAUCGAGAAACAUCUGUGUAAUAUAAAAAGUGUGCAAAUAUCGUGUUAAUCUGUUAUUUUCCUCUCCGAAAGAGAAGUCUCUUCAUUUUCGAUACAAUCCAUACCCAACUGAGACUAGUUGAGUCCGACGACGAAGACGAUAUUUUGCUCUUAUACGACUGCUUCAUCCAGAGGUGGCUUUGAUCAUUUCUUAGGUGUGCACACACGAGUAUUAAUAUGUAUCUCGAUCACUUCUUAUUAAUUUAUUAUUGCUCUCUUUUCUCACAUAAUUAAGCAUACGUACUUUAGAGUAUCAUUGAGCGACAAGGUUUCCUAUUUGCACCCUGUAUUACAGAUCACAAUACAGGUGCAAACAUCAGAUCGAAAUUCAAGCAUAUCUAGAGUUUUAAUAUAAUGUUAAUAUGUAAUAAUCAUAUGUACGGCUUUUCUAGACUUGAUGCAACUCCCCUAUGCAUGCUGUUUUGGACCUUGAAACUCAAGCUCCCGAUCAAAAGAUUCCCAAAUCCAAAUUUGCAAACAAUUCUAUCUUACUUUCACAUGCAAUCAGUCUUAAUAUAAUUUCUUAGACAAAUCUAAAAAAUCCGUUUGGUGGAAAAAAUUAAUUGUUUGUUCAUAUGACAACAAUAUAAAUCUCAAGCGGAAAGAGACCACGAGGUUACAAUAUGCAGACCAUGAUAUAUAUUUGCUCCUGCUUGUUCGUACAAAUCGAUUAUCAUAUAUCAAUUGGUUUAUCAUCCCAAGAAAGUGAUAAGCAACUUUAUAGCUAGACAAAAAAAGAGCCGUGUGUAAAUUGAGUAUAUAGGAGCACUUGCUUUUCAAGUCCUCUUAUUUUGAAUUUGAAUAUGAGUUCCAACCAUUUGUCCAUUUCUUUCCAAUUUCUUUCCACAGCUGGAUCGAUAAGACUGCUCCCAUUUGAAAAUAUUGGAAUGAAAAUGACUUGUAUAUGCAUGUGUUGAUCUCGACCUUGGUAUUAUUCAAACUUUUGAUUAGGGUUCAAGCAUGACAGAAGCACUUCCACUUGAAACAAAAUCACAUAUAAAAACUAGGGACGUACCUAACUACUCUUGGAUCGUUCACCUGUUAAUUUCAUAUGCAACGAUUCUUCUGGUUAUAUGUAAUUAGCAUCUGCCUUGCUCCAAACACAACUAAGCAAGUAGAGCUUAUAAUAACUAAUAUUGGGAUCUCAAUUGUGAUUGCUUGACGUAUAAGUUUAAAGGAACUUGCUGAUAAAAACUUGGAUUAAUAGCUCAUAAAAAUAAGGCCUAUCUUUUGGAGACGAAACCCAUGAAAUGUUUGGCUGAUCGAAGAAAUGUCGACGGCGUGAGACGUACUAAGAAAUAUAGCGUCGAUCGAAAGCAACAACUCCCAAAACGUAAGAUGAAAAUUGGCCUACCAAACUUUGAUAACCAGCUAGCAAUAUAUGUCUAGCUGAAGUUUAGACAUCGUAUACGCAUAUAUAGAGCCAAUUUGAAGCUUAAUGGCACUUAUAUUGUUUUCAUAUAUUAAAAUGAAAACGGAAUCAUUUUCAUAUAUAUAUAGUAAUAGUAGAGCCAUAAGCUAGCUAGCUAAGCCUUAAAAUAACAAUUAUUAAGUGAAGAAAUUAGCUGUUCACCUACUGCUGGCAAUUGGUUGUUGUAUAUUCUCAAACCUUUCCCUUUGGAAUGACAAUGCUAUGCCCUAAACCCAUACGGUUCUAAAUAUCUGAUAUUUUUCUUUUUCAUUUGUAGACUCAGGAAUAAUUAACUGCAAUAUAUUUACACUAUACCUAGUGGCAAGGUGAAGCUGAGUGUCGUCAGAUUUAUCUUCUGGCGGCAACAUAGCUGGAGAACGGAUUUAGAAUUGCAUAUUAGGAUGUGUAAGCAUGUUACAUAUCUAUUGAUCUUUCCCAAGGAUGUCACCGCUAUAUCAAAGCAAAAUAGAGUUGCCAUUAGACAAUAUUUUUUGCUAGUUGGUGUUUGUUUGAGUACAUGAGUAUUGUAAAGGUUUCUGAUAUUAUUUUAGGUCUUUGUAAUCAGGGGUUAAGACUCAAUGUCCACCCUUUGUAUUCAGUAGUUUCAUUAAUCGAGACUUAAGGUAGUCGCAUCAGCCCUUUAUUUAAGCAUAAAUAAAUAAAAUAAAGAAGGUCUAAAGUAAAUUAGGGUUUGGAUAAACUAGCACUAAUACUAGAGUAUGUGUCCAAAUGCUUUGAACUAAAUAAGACAAUUAGCUAGCUAGUGCAAGAAGGUUGACUGGCUCCUCUUCAGAAAUUUCUAACAGACAAGACAAGGCUAGCUUUAUCUAGUUGUUAGGCUGAUAGCUACCCUCCACUUAUAAGCUCUAAUAUGUAUCUCCUCCACUCUACCUGCCACUACCAAAGAGCAGUACUAGUCUUCAUUAGGCAAUAUUUAGCAUAAAUUUUCUUUUCUUUACACCUAAGAAAUUUAGUUGUUCUUCUUCAGGUGUACGUACAAUGGAGGCUAGCUAAAGGCCCAGAAAGCACAGCUAAGAGAUUGUACAUAAACAUACAUCAACCAUUUGUUUAUGCAUUCAGAAGAUUAGUUUAUAAAUCAACUUGCAAAUCUUAACCAUAUCUAUCUGCUAGCUAGUUCAUCAUAGUCCCUUCCUCCUCAUUUGAGUGCUGCAUGACCGCUGCUUUUGUGGCCAUGCAUAUUGAAAUUCAUUGAAUCUGCCAAACAUAUUUGUGUUGCAAGCAUAUGUCUGUUCAAUUAGCAACAUUAAAGGGUCCAAUGAAAUGACCCUUUCAUUGGUCUUGUUUUUAGUGCUUUAUCAGCAGCCCUACUACCACUAAAAUUUUGACUCAAUUCUGUAAGAAAAUUUGCAAAUAUCUCAUUUUUUCAGUAAGGUACGGUGGUCUUGAGUUGAGUUCGAUAUAGAUAUUAACCAAAAAAGAAAAAAAAACACCUUCCAAAAAAGAAAAAAAACACCUUUGUUUAGCUUUCUCGCGUCCAAAUUUUGUUAGCUCUGGACGUGUUCUGGGAUAUUAUGACAUGCACUACUAAUAGUAACAAGGUUGUCAAUUGCUACUACUGAAUAUAUUGUUCUAGAGACCGACCAUAUAUAUAUAGAGAGGGCUGCGAUAUCCAUCAAUAUAAAGAAAAGGUAAUUUCACUGAUCGAUGUCAAAUCUAAAUCCCAGAAAGCAUGCAUCCCAGACAAAGUGGAGAAGCUAGCACUGUGUUUUGUUGGCACUCACAGAAAGAAAAAAACGAACUUUAGUUUCUAAACCCACAAAGAAGUCGUGCAGAAAUCAAGUUCAGUAACAACAUAGAGAAAAAUGGAUCGUAGAAAUUUCAAAGAUGAAUCUGUUUCAAACAUGUCUAUGUCAAGACAGAUCAGCAGCCUAAUGGAUUCACAGCCGUUUAAUUUCAUGUCUUCACGUCGACACAGAUCGAUUGAUAAGGAUAUGUACUGGUUUGCUGUAUAUGACUGUAUCCAACAAAUUCACGUUUCUUUUCUCAAAAUAUAUAAUGUUUGAUUAUAGCUAGCUUCUUCCUACACAUUUCCCUUAUCACCACGCACCUAAUUACUUGCUCGUUUUUCCUGUGAAAUAUAUGAACCUGCGUUUUAUUUUCAUCUUUCUUACACGUAUGCUCACUGCACAGUACAUGCAACAAUCGCAACCGUUGUUCAAAUUUGGCCACCCUCUAUAUAUACCUCGACCACCAUCUCUCUACUCUUACUUCCCUCAACUCAAAGCAAACACUCAUCUAGGCUAGCUAGUUUUCCAUUCCUCUCCAGUACUUGAAUCACAAUACCAACUUUUCUUAAGCUGGAGCUAGCUAGUUCUUCUGAGGUCGAUACGUACCUUCAUCGAUACAUUCGAUAAGCUAUAAAGAAUUAUCGAUAGCAAUGGGCAUCUUAAACAGUUUCCAGGACCAUCAGGUUUGUGAUAAACUUUUUCUUUACUACUGUCCCUGUAUGAUUUACUCAUUGUCAUGCUAGCUAGGGUUUAUGUUGAAAGUGUUUCAUUUUUAUUAACUGCUAUACUACCGGUGUGUACUAGGGAUGCUUCUAGCUAGCUAGUCGUCAAUUGCUAGAAGCACUUAUCCAUAUGUAUAAACUUCAAUCAAUAUUAAUGAUUUCAGGGCUAUGUUGAAGAAGAAAAUAGCCAAAAGAAGAUGACAGAAACAUGUACAAUGGAUGGAGCCGUUGAUUGGAAUGGCCGCCCUGCUAUCCGAGGGAGAAGUGGUUCUUGGGUUGCUGCAGUUCUCAUAUUAGGUAAGUAAAUAAUUUACACAAGCUAAAUAAGCUAGCUCCAUGCACACACACACAAACUAAUUGAUUACAAAUUUAUCUUUCAAAAAAAAUAAUAAUAUUAAUUACAAAUUUAUAUAUUUAAUCACGACAUGUUUUAUAUGAUCAUACCAUAAGCCACGUCUGUACUAAACUUGCAUUUUUGGGUCUCGAUCAGUGUGUCUCAAUUGUCAAAACUUGAAAUUGUAGCUAGUUUGGAUUCUUUUCUCGAUCAUUAAUUUACAUUUUAAUUUUUAUUUAAUAAUUCCAUUUUAGAUGGAUAGAUCUCACAUUUUUCAUAAAAUAAACAAGAUCAAUCACAUAUAUACAUAUAAAUUAUUCUUCGUAAAACUUGUUGAUAUAUAAUCUAUAAUUAUAUUCUAAACCAUGAUAUUAUUGUAUCUUUAUAUUACUUAUAUAUAUGUUCAUAUAAUUUUCUUUGUGUGGUCAAAUCUAUGUUUCAUAAUUGGUUAAACUUAUAUGAUUUUUCUCGGUGAUUAGUGAAUCAAGGGUUGGCAACAUUGGCUUUCUUUGGAGUAGGAGUGAACUUGGUAUUGUUCUUGACAAGGGUAUUGGGACAAGACAACGCUGAGGCUGCAAACAAUGUCAGCAAAUGGACCGGAACAGUUUACAUUUUCUCUCUUCUUGGGGCUUUCCUUAGUGACUCUUACUGGGGGAGAUACAAAACUUGUGCCAUCUUUCAAGUCAUUUUUGUCAUUGUAAGUUUCUUAUUACCAAUCAAAAUCCUACUAAUUAAAUUAUUGUACGAUACCAUAUACGACAUAUGCAAAUAUACGGUUCCUCAUUUUGUAUAACUUAGGUUUGUUCUUUUCCUUUUUGGCCUUAGUUUUGUAACAAAAUUAUCAGUUAGUGUUACUUACACAAUAUUUCUAACCAGUUUUAUGUAACUAAUUUUAUUUUUUACAGGGCUUGACAUUAUUGUCACUAACAACCUACCUAUUCCUGCUCAAGCCCAAGGGUUGUGGUGAUGAGAAAUCUCCAUGUGGAGAACAUUCGAAUUUUGAAUUCGCAUUGUUUUACCUCUCCAUAUAUCUCAUUGCACUAGGGAAUGGAGGUUACCAACCUACAAUAGCUACAUUCGGAGCAGAUCAGUUUGAUGAGGACGACCCCGAAGAAGGCCACUCCAAGAUUGCCUUCUUCAGCUACUUCUACUUGGCUUUGAAUCUUGGCUCCCUCUUUUCAAACACAAUAUUAGGGUAUUUUGAGGAUAAAGGAAUAUGGACUGUAGGGUUUUGGGCAUCUACAGGCUCUGCGGCCAUGGCUUUGAUUUUGUUUCUUUGCGGAACUCCGAGGUAUAGGCAUUUUAAGCCUCAAGGCAAUCCUCUUUCUAGGUUCUGUCACGUAUUGGUUGCUGCUACAAGAAAAUGGAAGGUCAAGAUCACGUCAGAUGGAGAUGAUUUGUAUGAGGAACAUUUGAAACAAUGCCCUGAAAAUCAGAGUAGGAAAAUACUUCACACCCGAGGAUUCAAGUGAGCUCACAUUCUUUUAAGUCGUUAUUCUAUCUGUCGAGAUUUAAAAUUAGUAAUCAUCAUAUCUGGUGCUUAAUUCUUGAUCUAUUUCUAAACAAGAUUCAUGCAUGUUAUUCAACAGGUUUUUGGAUAGAGCAGCAAUCAUCACAUCAAAGGAGUCGAAUCAUGUAGACAAAUAUGCUCAAAAUCCAUGGCGGCUUUGCACAGUGACACAAGUAGAAGAAGUUAAAUGCGUAUUGAGAUUACUUCCAAUUUGGCUAUGUACAAUUCUCUACUCGGUAGUUUUCACACAAAUGGCCUCCCUCUUUGUAGAACAAGGUGCCGUAAUGAAAACCACCGUGUCCAACUUCCACAUUCCCCCAGCCAGCAUGUCAAGUUUCGAUAUCCUCAGCGUCGCAUUGUUCAUCUUCAUUUACCGGAGAGUUCUUGACCCACUUGUUGCUAAGCUACGCAAAAGGGGACUCACCGAGCUACAAAGAAUGGGGAUUGGUCUUGUCAUUGCCAUCAUGGCUAUGAUCUCAGCCGGAGUUGUGGAGUGUUUUAGGUUAAAAUAUGCAAGAACAGAUUGCGCCUCUACCGACUGUGAGAGUCCGAGUUCAUUGAGCAUAUUUUGGCAAGUUCCUCAAUACAUGCUCGUCGGAGCUUCCGAAGUGUUCAUGUACGUGGGUCAGCUAGAAUUCUUUAAUAGUCAAGCACCUGAUGGGUUGAAGAGCUUUGGUAGUGCUCUUUGCAUGACUUCAAUAUCACUUGGGAACUAUGUGAGUAGUUUGCUGGUUACGAUUGUGAUGAGGUUUUCUAGUAGAGAUGAUAUGAGUGGAUGGAUCCCUGGAAACCUUAACAGAGGUCAUCUGGACAGGUUUUACUUUCUCUUAGCAGCUUUGACUACAGCUGAUCUCAUGGUCUAUAUAGUUUGUGCCAAAUGGUACAAGUAUAUCAAGUUUGAAGCAAAGGGAGGAGAUGAUCAAAAUGAAUGUAUUAGGCAAGCUGAACUUGGAGUCUGAUCAUUUUCUGAAAUAUUUUCAACAUAUCUCGGCAGAUUCUUCCUUUUAUUAGAGCAUAUGAAAUGUUAAUGCGCAACUUGUGGGUGGGACUCGAGAAUUUCCACUUGAAAAUAAGAUCGAGACGAAUGGCUCUAGACUGAAUGAUAUUGGACCAUUUGUUUCGGUAGAGAAAACAUUGCUUGCGGUGAAACUAGAGAAAUGCUUUUUUCAUUUCUCCAAGCUGAGCGAAAUGUGUUGUACAAACUAUGUCUUCCAUUCAAGAAUAAAUUACAUUUUUUCUGUUUUUACAUUCUAUGAUAUUACACUUCAAAGUGGUUGCCUUUAUUUUUUUUUCUUUUCCUCUCAAAUUUUUACAUCAUAAUAUAUCAAUGAUCCUUGAUCUAUAUUUAGUGUAUAAUGAACCCUAGUAGAGCGCGACUCUAUUAGGGGUGGGAGAUUGCUGCCGUUGGCCGAGUUUCUCUAAAUUUUUCCCAUUUCGAUUCCAUCUUCAGGGUCAGUUGUGAUCGUGGUGGGUGAUCAAUCGAAUGUUGACCAAGAUUGUCAUUGACAUUCCAAAGCCCCUCACAAAUGAGUUAAGUGUAUGUAGCUAGUAAUUAGAUCAUCCACAACAAGAGUCACGCGUCUGGGUAACUUUGAUUUUUUUGACACAAGGGAGAAGCAAGAUAAAGGUUUGUUGUCUGAAAUCAUAAGUUUUUACCAAAUUAUGGCAGCUUUCACAAUCAAACCAGUGUAUAUUCACAUAUCGGUAUGUUAUUUAUUGAUUGGAUACUUUAAAAUGAGAAGAAAAUCAACAUCAUGGAAAUCUAAGAGGAGAAUACAUGGAGAAAUUAUUAAGAUGGAAAAAAAAAAUAAUACAUAAAUUUAAAUAGCAAAUACGAAAAGAGAAAUUUUAUUCACACAUGACUAAAUACUAAAUACACAUCUCACACUUAAUACACUACUAAAUAAUUUUAUAAUAUUAACAUUUGACUAGAUACACAUCUUUAAACUUCCUAAACUACCCUCAUUCAAAAUAUAUCAAUAUUACCAUAUAUUUUCUAAAUACACAUUCAUUCCUUUUUUAUAUCAUCUCGACUUAGAAAGAAAACAAAAACUUUUUUUUUUAGAAACUUAAGAGCAUUCAAACUGCUCCAUCAUGAUUGAUUAAUAUAUGUAGUAUCAUUUGCAUAUUUAUUAUUUUGGAUGUUUUGCACCUAAACAUGUUUUAGAUCAUUGCAAAAUAGAUGCCAAAAUAGAUCACCAGUCUCUUAUGCUUGAAAACCUCGAGCAUGGAUACUCCACUUGUUGGCAGGAUAGACAAUAUCAUUCUAAGGCAUGGUCGAAGCCAACUAAAAACCUUCAUUUGCUUGGGUGAAUCCAUUAUUAUGAAUCAUUAAGCUCUUGCCUAUGAGACCAUGAUUAAUUCUCGAUCAAUUCGGUUAAAAAUAUGGCUAUUGUUAAGUUUUAAGUUGAAACUUCAUUCAUGUAGAAAGAAUAAAACGUUAAAUUGAGAUGUAGUGUAUUUCAAGUUUUCAAUAAUAUUAUCUAAUUAAUAUAUAUAUAGACCUCUUUUGGUAAUUUAAUAUACUUAAACUUUUUAACGUUAGAUGUAUUAAAAAAAAGUAAUGUGUAUUUAAUAUUUAGGAGUGUGUGAAUAAAAUUUCUCAUACGAAAAAGGUUCAAAAUACAUAACAAAAGUAUUUGACACAAGGGAGAAGCAAGAUAAAAGUUUGUUGUCUGAAAUCAUAAGGUUUUACCAAAUUGUGGCAGCUUUCACAAUCAAACCAGUGUAUAUUCAUAUAUCGAUAUGUUAUUUAUUGAUUGGACACUUUAAAAUAAGAAGAAAAGCAACAUCAUGGAAAUCUAAGAGGAGAAUACAUGGAGAAAUUAUUAAGAUGAAAAAAAAAAGAUUUUUUUUGCAGAAAUUUAAAUAGCAAAUACAAAAAAGGUUCAAAAAUACAUAACAAAAGUAGAAGGUUUGCUACUCCUCCUCGUCCCUCCUCAUGCACGCCCUACCUCAUAUGCCUUAUUCUUCCUUUUACACUGCCUCACAAGGUUCUCGGUCAGCAUACAAGCAUUGAAAUUGUAAACAUAUAAACCAAUGUGUAGAGCCGAAAGAAACCGGAAUGACAGGGCAAAAUGAUGAUCUCAAUGACAGAUAUAAUAACUCCGUAGACAUCCAUAAUCCAUCUUAUCCUCCUCAACUUGACUUUUCCAUUCUUAAAAAGUGGGUGGUUACUACUCCACUGCACCACAACAAUCUCAAUUAGGCUCAUCAUGAGGAGAACAAUUGUGAGAGCAAGUUCACUCCAUUUCAUCUUAUGGUUCCCUUUUUUCUGCCUUUCUGUAAGUGGCUUAACCAUGGAGAUGUAAACCUCGAUGCUGAUUUUGAUCAAGAAGAACAACCACUCCUUGAUACUGAGUUUGUUGGUCCCGACCAACCUUUUGACGUCCUCAGCGGCCUCGGCACCAGCUGCAUUAGCACCGGCCAUGUAAUUGUUUAGCCUCGUUGAGUUACCUCUAAAACUCUAUCAUUCUCAACCAAAUCUCUCCCCAGCCGAAUUCCCAUUCUCUCAACCAACAAUUGAAUUUCUCGAACGCGAGUUAGACCUACUUCAUUUUUCUUGGUUAACACUCUUCGGAUCUCAAAAUCAACUAGGUUCGCCAGCCGCGUUUUUGCCUCCCCAUAGACGACUCCACGGAUGGUGGCGUAGCCUCUGAUAUGAAAAAAAAUUGUUGGAAUCUAAAAAAAUGUUAGUAGUUGACGGAAUGAUAUGUUGUUUAUGUCAAUUUUGAGCACAUGGAAUAACAGAGAAAAUGGUUUGGAUUGAAGGUAAAAGAUCCUAGUGCUGCACGAGCAAGAGAUGAUAUAAAUUAUAGAAAUGGAAGAUUAUCGGCAAAAAAAAAAAAAAACAAACGCAAGAUGAGUCUUUCUUUGAUUUUUUUUAUUUAUUUGUGUGUGUGAUGACCUAUGAAACUAUUGGUGAUAGCUAAAAUGUAUUCAACCAUUAAUGUAAUAUUUUAAAUGCUCUGCUUUAGCCACUUAUUCUAUCAUCCGCUCCACUAAAUACUGCACAACAAAGAAGUAUAAAGAAGUCAUCUCAUCCAUAACAUUCUAAAUCGACCGACAUUCAAGUGAAGACAAUUAGUAGGUACUUAACUAAGCUAACCUCUGAACAUAGUUAUGAGGUAAGCUCUGAAAUCCCUAACAUUUUUAGAUGCAAAAGUGUAGGUUAAUCUUUAAAUGUAUAUAUGGCCUUACUCGGUAAAAUCGAUAGUGCUUUAGCUCAGUCUCCAGCUAACAAUACGUUUUUAAAUAUAGAUUAACAAUAUAUGACUAAAUAAACAAAUAAUUCCAAAACAACAGAUGUUGAAUGAGUUUCUGAGAUUUAUGACAAUUAUCUUAUAAGACUCUUCGUCUACAAAAUCUCCAGCAAGCGUUUUGAGUUCAUUCAGGGUUGACUGUCUUCUUUCAACUCCGUAAAUAUCACAUAAUUUCAUUUCUAGCUGCAAUAUACGUAAGAGUAAUUUUAAAUAUAUACCCUUAAUAUCUUAAUACACUCCUUACUUAAUACACUACCCAUCUCGUUUUUCAAUUCAAUAAUAUACUAAACACACAUCACAAACUGCUUAAAAUACCCUCAAUAUCUAAAACUAAUAAUAAUAUGUUAUUUAAUAUAAUUAUUAUAUAUUUAUUAUUUCACAACUCUCUUUAUGUAUUAUUUUUUAUUUUCUGUUAGAUUUUUUGGAUCGGGUUAGAAAUUUUUUCUUGAUAUUUUUCAAUUUAUAAUCAAAAGAGUAAUAUUAUAUUCGAACUCCAAAUCUCCAAUAAAUAUAACAUCAAUCGGCUAGAAUUUGAAGAAAAUAAAAAUAUUGGACAUACAUAAUAUUUUCAAAGUUAAGAAACUAGUAGAAGUACAAUAGCAUAAAAAUUAGUUUUUAGUCUGUAAGAUAAAAACUAAAAUUGAUAAAUAAAAAAACCAAAUGAAUCGGUAAAUAGUACAUGUGAUUACGACAGUAGUCAAAAUUCAGGUGAUGAAUUUUGAAGAAGAAAUUUUUAUUUCUUUUCUUUUGAUGCAUAGUAAUAGUGGAGAAGAGUUAGGUUUUAGGGAAGAGGAAGUUUCUUUUUUUCCCUAAUAAUUGAUGGAUGUUUUUGUAAUUAAACAUACUUAUAAAAUCUGAUGUGAAAUAUAAAAUAAUAGGGGUGUGUAUUAAGAGAUUAGAAGUGUGUAUUUAAAAUUUCUCUAUACAUAAAAUGUUUAGACAAAAAAGUAAAUAAAAGCAAAAACUUGUUAUAAUGUGCAAGCUUCGAACUCAUGCCACCUCUUGACAGUUUUUUAAAAGCAAAAAUAAACUUCAUACAAUUAUGUCAGAGGGGCACAUCACUCAUUGUUCAUGAAUGUGACUCCACCAUUGGGUAGAAUGCCAACAUUGAUGAAGAGGUCACAUUCGACAAAGGACCAGUAAGCAUUUUGGACAUGAAAAAUCAAGUUUUACGUAAGAGGCAACAUGAAAUACAGAAGUCACGAUGCGAGAAACGUAUCCUGAGCUUUUUAGUUCACCAGGUUGACUUCGAAAUUUCGAGGGUAAAUUUUUUACCCGAGUAAAGUAUGUGACGAUUUUAUUUCAAAUAGGUUAUUUGAUCGGAUUGUUUCUUCCGAUCCUCAUACUCUUUUGUGUGUUAUAUUAUAUGAUUAUGAAUUGAUUUUGAUUUUCUUUUUUAUCAUGAACUAUUUAUAGUUUUAUAUUAAAAAUUUUAUGUACAUAUAGUUACCUAUUUAAUUAUUUAAUUUUCAAAGAAUGUUUGGUAAGGGAAUAAAAACAUCUAGAAAAAAACACUUUUAUUUUUUAACUAUGAAAGUAACAAUGUGGAUUACGAUGUCAUCAGCUAGAACCUCUCAAUACUGGAUAUAGCACAUGUCGUGGAUAACAAAACCAAAAGAAUUGCAUACAAGGAGCGAAUCUAUCCAGCUCCAGAGUUUUAAAGACGGUUGAUUGGUCUAUAUUAAGCUAAUUAGAAUCAGAAUUAUAUGACAUAAUUAUAAGCCAAUAAAACACCCACCAAGAUAAGCAACAAACACAUAAACGACCCAUAAAAUGAAAAGCACAAACCAUAUAGGCAGAGGAAAAACAAAAAUCCCAAAGAUCAUACUCCAUGAAGGAAAGCCAUCAUCAGCUGUAUCAGCAACAACUAUGGUCUCCUUGCCAGCUUCCUGGAUCUUCUUCUCAGUCACGUUGAUUGUUAUUUGAUUCGUUUAAUCCCAAUAACCUGAAGAGAUAAGGUUAUUGGAAUUAAACGAAUCAAAGAAUAUAUAAGAAGAAGACACGUCUUUCUUUCCUUUUGUUUUCAUCAUUCAAAAAACAAACAUCUCUAAACACAACAAAUAACUUAUCCGAGUUUCAUACAUACUCUCUAGCAAGAACUGUGAAUUCGUUUCGGACUUCCAGUCAACUUUCUAAUUUCAACUUUGUAAACACCUGAAUUCAACUUCACCAGCACAAGUUGUCCUCUUAUGAGGCUAUUAAAAGCCUGGUUAGUUGUUGUCUCAUCAAGAAAAUUCAUACAUCUAACAAUCAAGUGCGCAUGAACUCUAAGCAACAACUCCUUGAGAACACCACAAACUUGUUUUUCAAUGAGUUUGGUCAACAUCUCAUCAUUCUCUACUACAUAUGCGAAUUGUCUUGUGAUACACAACAAUUUGGUAUUCAAUUUGUUAAUAAAUUGUUGAUGAUUGUCAACUAAGUGUUUGAUCAUGUGAUAAUUUUCCUCUUCAAUGAUUAGACCAUUUGGAGAUAAAGUUGUCCAUUAAAUGAAAUCUCCAGUAUAUGAAUUAUUUACCGGAUACUACAACACUUCGCUUCAAGUAAGAAAGCACCUCAAGAGGUGUUUCAAGAAAACUUUGUGUCAACAGUGUGACUAAGUGUCUGUCAGCAGCUUGUGCUCUCGUCCCAGACGCCACUAUAUCACCACUUUCAUAUGCAUUAAUAUCAAUAAUGUCAAUUAACUCGAUAUAAGGUAAUUUAUUUCUUCUGGCUCUCUUUGAUCUUGUCUCUCAGAUACUCAUGUUUGUGUUUCUUAAGCUUUGUAGUCAUUUUAUACAAUUUUUUGAAUUUUGAGCUUCUGUCCGUGCUAACUCUAACAUCGCCUCCUCACAUAAUGCAACGUUACCUGUCGUUGUUGCACAUAUCUUGUCAGUUACUGUGUAUCUGUUAAUCAUUUCCUUCAUGUAUGUAAGAUAUUACAGUCGUCCCCCUUAAAACUUUUUAGUUGUGUCUUGAUCAAACGUGAAAUCCAUCUUGUCCCAAAAACAACAACACUCAAACUUUUCCUUAAGUUUAGGUUGUGCUUGACAGAGACAGAUACAAACUUAAUCAUAGAAGAAAAUCAACCAUUAGUCUCCCUUGAUAAUAACAACAUUAUUUCUUCUUCUUUCUCAUUAGAAUUAGUUUUAUUCUGCUAAUCCAAGUGUAGUCAUGUAAGUUGAAAUUUCUAUUAUUUCAUAACUCUAUUUGACCUCGUUAACCAAUUCCAAAUUUUUUUUUUUUUAUGGUGACUUGGUUACUAUGGUAGAUUGGGUGCAUGUGUUGCUUGAUUAUUGUUGAAGAUUUUGGGCUACUGAUUUCUUGGGAUUUAAGGCAGGGAAAACAAAUAUUUCUUUAUAGCUUGAGUUCUAAUUUGAUGUGUCUUUAGAGUGAUUGGUUGUGAUGUUUUCUCUACUUUUAUGUGCAAUCUUCUUAUACGAUUGGACUAUAGUGAUUGUUGAAUUUGAGUUUUAAUCAAAGUCUAUUACAUAAAGAUGUUCUAUAUGGUUUAUGGAGUAUUGAUCUCAUUUACAAUUCUACAAUUUCGGAAUGGUUUUCAACAAGCUAUUAAAUAUAGACUACGUUUUCAUUAAUUAUUUUGGUCAUUUAGUUUUGUUAUGAGAAUCUGUUUUAAUUUUGAGUAUAAGUGAAGAUGAUGAUUUAAAAUACACACAAGAAAGAUCUCAUGAUUGUUUUGUUUUAUUUUUGCAAGACCUAUUACCAGCAAACUGUCUAUGCAAACUAAAAAGUUUUACAACUUUAAGGACUCAUGUUACAACUUCGAGGAUUAAUAUUACUAGGAUUCAUUUUAAAUUUAGGAUAAAGUUGAUGCAUGUCAUGCAUUAACACUUUCAAGAAUUUUCCAUUAAAGCUAUGUUCAGUUUUGAUGUGGAAAUCAGCUCCUUGACAUAUCUUUUGCCAAAGAUCCGUAUAACACAACAUAUUCAAAUGUUUCACAGGUUGCCAGAUCACAUGCUGCUGGAUUCUGAUCACAUGUCGAUUCCUUUCAGUGAUAGAAGCCUGAUAAUCUGGUAAGAUCUUCGUGUUGCAAAUUAAUAAAAGUUGGAGUAAGAGAUGAUAUAAGGUAAAGAGAGGGAAGAUUAUUGGACAAAAAAAAAACAAUAAAUAUACAACAAAUUAAGAAGUAUAAAGAAACCACUUCACACAUAUCAACUUUUAGACCUUGCUAGUAGGUACUUAACUGACUUGAACUCUUAACACAGUUAUGAGGUCAGCUCUGAAAUCCCUAACAUUGUAAAUGAAGAGUGUCGAUUAAUCUUUAAAUCUGUGGCUUUAGUCGGUAAAAUCGAUAGUGUUUUGGCUCAACCUUCAGCUGACAAUAUGCUUGAUUUUAAAAACCAAAAACAAAUAGAUCAGGUUAAGAAUAUUUGACUAAAUAAACAAACAUUUUCAAAACAACAAAUGCUAAAUGAGUUUUCGAGUUCUAUGACAAUUAUCUUAUAAGACUGUUGAUCUACAAAAUCCCUAGCAAAGGCUUUGAGUUCAUUCAGUGUUGGCUCACUUCUUUCAACUCCGUGAAUAUUACAUGAUUUCAUUUUUAGCUGCAAAACAUGUCUUCUGCAUGUAAUAUAAGAAGUCUUAAAUAUUUUUGAAGCAAAAAAAAAAAGGUCAAUGCUAACUAGCCCUAAUUUUUUUUUAUGAGAAUUAAAUUCUCAAAAUUAAGGCUAGUGAGCAUUGACCUUGUUCGCUAGGAAGCCCAUAAUAGGCUUCAUGCUGGGUCGCUCAUGACUCAUUUAUAAUGAAGUAAUAUCACAAAUAUUCCUUAAUAAAAGAAAUAAAAUCAAAAACAAAGACUCUUUUGAUACUGGCUAGCUAGAAUAGUAAGUGCAUAAAAAAAAAGUAUGUCGAGAGAGAGUUUUCUCUCUCAAAACCCUAGUGUCGUCACCUUGGUGCGGCUCCCAAGGAGGACUCAAUUCCCUCCACCUAUUGUUUCGCCUUGCCAAUUAGGCCAAGAAGCCUCUCAGGUCACUCCUCGCUUUGGGGAAGGGGUUGCGCGGUAUUUGGCAAGGCUGACUUCUUGGUAUUGCUUUCCGCACACAUGGAGAGUCUAGGCUGGAUUUGAGAUGACUCUUCUUUCCUCUAGAGGGUGGCCGGUUUUCGAUGGCGGCACUUGGUUAGUAACAGCUAUUGUGCAAGGCGGAGACUGGGUUUGGCUUUGGUGGUUUAUGUCGAAGCCGGAAUCUUGGAUUUGGCUAGUGUUUGUGGCCUGGGAGGUUUGGAGAUUGAAUUUCGGAUAUCUAAUUCAAGGGAGUCGGUUCAAGUGGCUAGGAUGGACGCGAAAGACAACGACUGAACCGAACGGCGUGGGCGACGACGACGGCCUGCAUCUUUCUGAGUGGGUGUUCAGAUCACAUUUGGCAGAUCAAUCUUUGGGCUCCGUCCAGGCCUAAAUCUGGGUCAAAUUGGAUUUGAUUGUUGCCAUACUAUGGUUUUGGGUUUGGGACCAUGGCAUCACCCACCUACUUAGCCAUGGAUCUAAGGUCUAUCCAUGGCUCCGCCUGUCGGAGUAUAACCUCAAAGCAAAUCGCCCGAUAAAGGAGAGUAGAUUGGCCUUAGGUCAAUGGAUCUUGGUUCUAAGAAGGUGUGCUACCCUAUCGUUUUGGACUUUUGAAGACCUUGCAGCUGUUAUAUGUGUGGUAGACUCUUUCCAAUUUCCUAGUAUUUUCGUACACCAAUUGAGGUCCUUACGGAAAUUUAUUUAGCCUACUGUUUCGAGUCAUGUAACAUCUAUUUGGUUGAUAUUGUCUCUUAGUAGCAUAGCUCAUCAUCUUGUUAGCUAUAGGCGUGUUCUUGCUUGGCCUGUAUCCGCUCUAGAACAUACGUUGGACACCCCUAUAUUCGAACAUUGUCUAUUUUAUUAAAAAAGUUGUUCCUAAAAUUCCAAAAAAAAAAAAAAAAAAAAGGAAAGACCAAAGAACAAGUCAUAGUAAAAGGGAGCAAGGCUCCCACAUCGAAAAUAAGGAAGGGAAAGCCCCCUCCAAAUCAAGUAAGUCCACAUUUCCACUUUCUUUCCUUUUUGCCACGUCAAAAUAUUACUAACUUAGGCAUCAAACUGGUCGAACCCGGCACACCCGAGGUCGCCCUCUAACGUCUUGUCUCUUUUGACAAGUUUGAGAGGAAGGGACGUGACGAAACUCAUUUCCCAGAGACACACAGUCCGACCUCGGUUCCAUGAGCUGACCCAAAAACAAACCCUUUUUUUUUUCCAAAAAUGUUUAAGGUGGAGUCACUGGUCAACCAUGAGGGUGGUGUUUUGGAUAAAUUUUUGGCUAUGUGGCUAAAUUUGGAUGCUUAUUGAAUGUUUAUUUACAACUAGUCGUAAUUGGUGACAGCUCAUCUUAAAGUUGACUCUCUGUCUCUCUGAGUCAAAUAUCAGGCAGUGAAGUAAGAAAAUAGAAAGAGACUACUCCAUCUUCUUGAGAUCAUGCAUAUGUAAAUCACACGAACAAGGAUAGAAGAAUAAAAUUGGGUUUGCUAGUAUAGAGUUCGAUGUUUAGUCACCACACAGAACAAAAAUAAGUCUUGUACUCCAUGUUCACAGUUGUGCUAUGACUAGGUAAGCGUAUACCACUGAUUGGGAAUUGUUGUUUGUUGUAACGUAAAAAAAAAAAAAAUGUAUAUAUACAUACACUAAUCAGCUCAACUUUACAAGUGAAAUUGUUUAAAUAGCGCAAGCUAAUCUGCUGAGCUCAGACUAGAUUGUGCAGAUUUGUAGUAGAAAUUUGUACCCUUGUACUUGCUUUUUAGUGAAUUAAUUUAUGCCAGUGCGGUUUAUCGAAAUUUGUAUUCAAAACUAGUCGAUGCUUUAGAGUUGAUAUAGUACCAAUUACUGAAAUGAUACCGAAAAUGGUAGAAUUUUUCAAAUAAUGAAUCCAUUGGUUCGGUACUUGAUACUCUCUUAUGAAUGAAUACAUUGCUUUGUUUCAAGAAUAUUGAUGGUGCAAAAACCAAACAGUAGUAUACUAGGGAAAUUGGAAAAUCAGAAUACCAACUGUGCUGUUUAUGAUACACUAUAGUACACCACUACUUUUGACCACAUCAAAUUUAGAUUGUGCAUAGUUUUGAGGGAAAAAAACACCCAACAUCAAACAAACAAUGAAGCUAUGCUGUUCCUCAAUGAAAAAAUUAGUUUUGCUAUUAACAAACAUGCGCUGGGAAGGUAGCUCUGCAACAGUAACGGAAGCUGGAGGGGAGAUGGCGAACAUGAAUUGAUCAAUCAAUGCCCAAGGUGGAAUAGGGUUCAAAGCCACCCUGACAAAUACAAAAUGAAUAAACUCUCAGCGCUUGUUUUCUUUAGGAAAUAACAAAAGCUGUAAAAUGUCCCAUCUUCCAUAGUGUAGAGCUACAGUGGAAUGGUUGUGAAUUUGGAAUUUAAAAAGAGAGGGGGGAGAAAAGGAAGAGAAGAAGAAAAAGAUGAGAUGUACACUAAAAAUGGAGGUGGCUUCAUAUAGGUGAUUCUAUUUCAACAGGAUCCAUUUCACCAGUUGAAUGGAGGAUAAGGCUUUAUAAAGGCCGACCAUAUACAAUUGAAUGAAUUAAUGAAUUGAAUUUGUUUGAUAUAUAACAGGGUAGAAUUAACUAGUUUCAUUCCUAAUCAUAGGAAGCCAAUUUUACUGAAAUAUGCUACUCACAGAACAGUCAUCAUGUACACGCCAUAUGGUCUCUCCCAGAAGAUUUGCAACUGACAGGACAGUUAGCUGGGGAAAAUAGUUCUGCUCAGAUACUGGAAUAGUAUUUGUUAUGAUCACCUCUUGGAACAAACCGCUUGACAGCCUCUCUAUAGCAGGAGGACUGUAAAAGGAAAAUAUCAAAUUAAAUAUUCAUCUAGAUAAUAAGGAAACACAUUCACUGUUAUGGUCCAAAAAAAUUCAGAAAAAGUGAUGCUGGCAUCCAAAUGCAAACUGUUAUGGCUACAAAAGAAAUAAAAAAGUCAUAAUAAGAUUUUCUUUUUGGGCCAAAGUGUCGUAAUAACUCAACAAAGAGGUAAUCACCAAAUAAAGGGUUUACCUAUAAACUUGUUCCUUUCCAUGAGAUGUCAGUCACCUAAAAUUGACUGUAUGAUAUCAAAACUGCAUUUAUAUUAUAGAUGCAGUUGGGAUAGUUCUAUUGAUUCUUUUUUACUACUACAAAAAGAGUUACAAAUUACUAUAGGCAUGUUUAGUGUGGACAUAAACUCCAUUCUAACAAAAGAAAUUGAAUGGUCACUUCAGACCUCCAUCAGAGAAAGUAUUGACCAGAACUUAGCACGGGCAAGGAAAAAAUUGAUGACUAUUAAAAUGAUCACUUGAAGCAAAUAAUCUGGUAAGAGUUCGGCUGAUUAGUGAUCAUAAGUGACCCUAAAAGAAAGACGGAUACUAUACAGGAAUCUACCCAAGCAGAACCAACUAACUUACCCCAGAAGUAAUAAGUUACCAUCAACUCAAACCCCUAAAAAAACCAUAUAAAGGAAACAUUGAUAAAGUACCCACUACCCAGACCAUGCUGCCAUUGAGAAGUUAGGCUUAUUCUAUGGCAACCAAAUUUAUCUUCUCAACCCUAUCAUCAAAUUUCUUUACAACAGACCAUAUAGAGAUUCACAGUUCCACACUGCACAAUUGCAAACAGUAUAUCCCUGCUCCAAAUACCCCAAAAUAUCCUAUGCAAACAAAAUGAGAAAGUAUUUCAGCCAAAGCCAUACUACUCGGUCUACUUCCAUGGGUCCUAGUACAUGCAACCUAUUCCAAGACGUGAAAUGAAAAAACAAUGCACAAAAUAUGAAAUUGAAUAUCUAAGAAAGACAGAAUUUAUUAACUUUUAUAUGUAAAGAUUUGCAGAGGCAUCCUCUCAAAGCAAAUCUUACGGUUACAGCUUAGUCCCAGAUACACCAAAUAAAAUCACUAAAUGAGAAUAGCCCACUAAUCAGAAUUAGAAACGGAAAAUGGAUUUCCCUAAUAUUCUGAAGAAAUCAAUUUUCAAAAACAGUACACCACUAUAUACUUCAACCUCAGCUCCCUACUUUAGUGCAAAGGCAACACUAACCACCUCUUUACAUAAAAUACCAAACGGGGAGAGUAUGCUUUUCUGAAUCAUAUCUAGAGAACAGAUUUUUCUAUAUCCCAGCAGCAAUGCAAGAAUUUGUAAUUUGGUAGGUUUAAAACAAAAGGUAGGUUGUAGGUAUGAAGUAAUGUUAUAAAGUACAAAAAUAGCAUGAUAUGGAUUUUGAAAAUAUAAAAGAGAACAGCAAGUACAUAAAAUGCCCUGACAUAGAUAGUCCUAUUAUUUGUCAGACCAAACUAGAAUCAAUUGGGAAUAUGUUAAGCAGUUUUAGGCUGGAAUCAGCCAAUUAUAGAUGCUGAAAGGGCCUUUAUUGUGAGAUUGGGCUCAAUUUUCCCCUCCGCAGUAAUUUAAUACUUAUGAGAGCAUCCUUUGUAGUUUGUCCCCCUUGGGCAUCUUAAAUCCUGAGAGUAUGCCCAUAACCACCAAGAUACAUACUGAACCCCGACUAUUGAGCCCAGGUUGAACUACAACUACAACUGUAAUCUUCAAUGAGCUAGAAACUGAACUAUAAAUUCCUCUUUUUUAGAAGAAAACUAUAAAUUCCUUCAGCAAGAUGCCACGAGUAGUCUUCACCAAAACAUUAUAUCUCAGCUGUCAAAGAAUUCCAAUGCAUCCACAGUGGCAUUCCAAGUUUCUAAUAUAACUCUAAACCACUGAAGAUCCCACUCCAAACUAUGUGGGAUCAGUUGUUGGGCAAUCGAGAUGAGAUAUACAUCCACACCUCUAAUUUGAACAAGAUGACUACUGCUAUCCGAACCUGGAAUCACCCACUUAUGAGCACGCUACACUUUUACAAUUAAGGGAGACCCUCUCAAGAUCAAUUCAAUAUGCAUCAAACAAAAUCAACAACAACAAAGAAAAAAACAAGAACAAAAGUACCGAUUGUUGAUACUGGUGGAAACCAUAAAUGAUCAGACUGCUAAAUCGACAUUCUAUAUAUGUCAUACCAAAAGAUGAAAGUGGCAUUCAAGCACUACAAAAAUACCACAUACCUAAAAACAGCAUGUGUACUGCACGCAUAGACUUCCCUGGCCCCCUCUUGAUGUAGUAAUUCUGCACCUUUAGAAAUAGUCCCUAUAACCCACCAGCCAAACAUUAAUGUUUAUUGCAAGAAAAACAACCAAAAAUAUAGCUGCACAGACUAAUAAAGAACAAGAAUGAUCAUAAGAACAUCAAUCAAUUUUAUAACCAUGAUAGUGAAGCAAUAGUGAUAUGUCUAGUCAUAGCGAAAAUGGUUACAAAAUGUGCAAAGGAGAGGUUGCAAAACUUGCAACAUAAAUUGAACAAGUUUGCAUGGAAUGUUAAGAUCAUUUGUAUAAUGAAAUUUGACUGCUCACAACAGUUACAACAGCUCUUGCCAUCUGAUUUUCAGACUGUCAGAUAAUUUCCUGAAGUGGGAUUAUGCACAAAAGACAAGUUAAACCCACCUAUAUGACUAGCAAACGAAGAAUAACCCACUGCCCCAUGCCACCACAAUGCCCUUUAAAGGCAAUGCACUUGUAUAAAAUAUAUCCAACAAAAAGGAAGAUACUACCAAUCAUGAUUUACAGUUGAAAGUUGAAAAAUUUUAAAUCAAUUACACCCAUAAAUUCUCCGAGUACAUAGAAAAUGUCCAUGUUAAAGACACCUACAAUGGUUUCUAACACUUGUAGCAGUCUACUUCUUUUCUUCAACAAAAGAUAUUGACCGAUCUUUUGAGCACGGCCAUUUACAAUUUACUACCCUAACAAUGAAUUUCCUAUCACCUCUCUCAUCUAACUAUGUGGAUUAUGGUUUACAAUUACAUGCAUGCUCAAGAUGCUAUCUACUGUUUCAAUUUUAUCUAUAACAUUAAAACAAAUGUACUAUUAGGUUCUAUUUUAUACAACAAAUUAUAGUAUGUACAAACUAACCGGCUGUAUCAAUCAUGUCAUCAACCAUGACGGCUACUUUUCCCUUCACGUCACCUAUCAAAUUCAUCACCUGCAAUAUAAAGAAAUUCGAUAAUGAACUGAUGAAUUGAAAGAUAUAUUUGACUAAAACAUUACAACUUAAACAUAUUUUAUAGAAGAUGACAAAACAAAAACAAAAAAUACAGAAAUGAAAAAAGCAGAGUUACAUAAGUGUGCCAUUGUGAAAAUCAAGAGAAAUUUUCUCACAAGACGCAGAACUUGAAACCGUUAGCUGCAUUCAUGAUUUCAUAUAGCCUUAACAAACAACCUUUUACGUUUUCAGACCUAUUAAUAGAUUUUGAGAUUGAUUUUGAGAAUUUGUCCCAACUCCUGCGUCACACAUACUACUGCUAAGUGAGUGUCCUCAUAGACUAGGGCCAUUUAGUAGUCUGUGUUGAUUUAUUAUUUGAGAACUGCUUCCAGAAGAGAGCAAGAGGAUAGUCAGGUGACAAAUGGAUGUUUUUUUUAAGGGAAAACUUCCAUUCCUACAAUGGGUACUAGUAGCAUCUAUCUUCAUUCAUUUCUUUACAUAGAUUUUCAAGUAGCAUGAUUAGGAGGUUAAAGAAUAAUAUGAAUUGCAUGGAAGGAGUGAUGAAGGGACAAAGGAUUAUUUAAUGAGUGGGAAUAUUUUGCAAAGGUAAAAAUAAUAAAAUUGCACUAUACAGGAACCAGAGAACAGAAUAGCAAAAAUACCCCUACAAUAUUGAUGAGUUAUCACGAAAUGUUUAAAGCUUCACUGCAAUCUAGCAUCUUAUCUUGGAGUCGCCCAUAAUAAUAAAGUGAACUGUUUUAUUGCAAGUUCCUUUUUGUGCAACAAAACAUGAAAUUUAUGUGGUCAUUAAACAUCACCGGUUUAUCAAGCUUUAUAUAGAACAUGACUACAUUAUCAGAUUUCAGAAUUAUUUCUCUCAUUUAAUACUUUGUGAUAUUAUGAGAUUAUGAGAUUCAUAAUUUAACUCUGGAACGAACGUCAGCCUCAUGUAAAGUAGUUCAUACCUCUGCCACAUUGUGCCCAUGACGCCUUUUAUCAACAAUUGCCAAAGGAGCAUCAGAUAACUUUUUUGCAAAAGCACGGGCUCGAGCAACACCCCCAACAUCUGGUGAGACCACUACCAAAUCAUCAGAACAGAUAGUCUUGCUGGCGAGGUAAUCAAGUAUCACAGGCUGAUUGAACAUGAUGAAAAGUAAGAAUCAUUACAAAUCAGAACAGAACUUUGGUCAUAUUUAUUAUAUGAAGAUAGUAGACUUUUAUUAUUUGCUACAUCUUUAAAUAAAGUCAACAGUAGUGGAGGCAAAAAGCCUAUUUAAACAAGAACAAGACAAACUUCUUAUAAAAAUUUCUAUACUGGGAAAGACAAUACUCACUAGGACCAGCAUAUAUUUUACCCCAGACAGAGGCACUGACUAGACCAAGGAAAGCUAAGUUCCACAACUAAUAUACCAUCUAUAGUCAAUAAACUUUGGUCAUACUGCAGUUUUAUUCCUUGUAUGUUGACAAAUUUGUGUUUCUUACACAGUGCUUAUUAUUUUAGGAUGUACAAUCGCCUUAAGGCUUACAUUUAAGGUUUUAAAAUCUUGUAUUUGGGAUUACUAGGCACAAGCAUAAGCCUAUAUAAAAGCACUUUGCUCUUCUCCACAAUCAUUUAAAGUGCCUUAACCAUCCAGCAGAGGAGUGAGUGGAUAGACCCGUACACAAAACCAAUCUUACUUUACAAAGGUGAAUUACAUUGAAGCAGGACAUGCACACACUAACACACUUACAAUGCUAUCCAUACAUUCUAGCAGUAGUUUCCGAAAAAGAAAAAAAGAAGAAAAAAAAAGGAUUAUUCUAAAUACAAUUUUUUAAUAGUAUAAGAAAUAUCUCUUUGAAGGUCACACACAUAAUCAUUCCAGGUUGCCAAGUAAAGGACUGAAGAAUCUUAUAAGAGUCGAACAUCCUGAUCCAUGGACUACGAAUAGAAAUGCCCCCAAGUACUACAAGACCGUUACCUGACCAUAUACAUGAUCCACAGGAAUAUCAAAGUAUCCCAUCGAUUGACCGGAAUGAAGAUCACACGCAAGAACACGAUUUGCACCAGCUUCGGUGAUCAAAUUUGCAACAAGUUUGGCAGCAAUAGAUUCACGCCCUUGAGUCUGAAACAAAGAGUAAUGACAGUUAAUAAUCAAAACAAAAAUAUGAACUUGGAAUCAGGUAACUCAAAUUCAAUACUGACCAGACUUUAUUUUUAUUUUUAUUUAGAAUGACUUAAUUUACCACGUUGAACAUAUGUACAAGCUACUAUAUGAGGAUUCGAAAGUGAAAGAUUUCAUGAUUUCAGAUCCAAGUCUGUAAACUAACUAUACUGACUAAACUUGAGUAAAUAUGAUAUUCAACAGCAAUCUUACUACUGCUGAGAAGUUUCUUAAUGCACCUAAAAGUCUCCAUUUAAGGAUCCAACUCAGGUUUCCCUCUAUAAUGAUAAAUCCACAUAUAGAGGACUUCUAGAUAGGGAUUCCCUCCUUUUUCUUUUCUUUUUUCUUUUUUUCUUUUUUCUUUUUUCUAUUUUAUUGAGAACAAAAAUAGCAUCAUAUAUUAGCCAAAUCAAAAACCGUUUAGCCAUGUAAACAUCACCUCAUAAAUAGACAGUGUUUUAAACACUAAAAAAACCAUACUGGUAAUCAAAUGAUCACACAACGUAAUAGAAACAAGUUAAUCAAAUAGUAAACUAUUUCUGCUUUGCUAAAUUUAGCAAGGAUUAUUUUUAUUAGGGGAUAACCUUAUGGUUCAUGGUGGCACCAGAAGUGCCAUCACUUCUUAAAAAAAGGGAGACACCUGAUGGAGGGGACCUUAUAUAUUAGGGAGGAGGCAAGAAAGCUGAAUGAGGCAAGAAAGCCGAAUAAAGGUAGUAUAAUUAUAAAAAGAGAAAUGAGGUACCGAUUUCAUGUUACACACAUUAAAAUACCUAGUCCAACACCAAUUUGUUAUAUGAUCUUAAGCCCCCAGUCUAUCAGUCAGAUGACAAUUAAUUCAGGCCUGUGGAUAAUAUGUAAUGAAAAACUCUGCGUCAGAAAUACCUAUUAGUCAAAAUUAUACUGGGGGACACUCGUGCAGUCAUCAUAUCAUUACCAAAGCUCUGAAACUAUUGUCAAGCAAUGCACCAAAUAUGAAAACUAAAAGUCCAGAUUCGUUGCUCGUUUCAUUAUAUUACCUUUCUGUCAGCCCUGGCAUAUCCAAAAUAUGGAAUCACAGCAGUAAUGUUCUUGGCUGACGCCCUUCGACAUGCAUCAAUCAUUAUUAGAAGCUCCAUUAGAUUCUCAUUUGCAGGAGGACAUGUCGGUUGCACGAGAUAUACAUCACACCCUCUGACACUUUCUUGCAACUGAACAUAUAUCUCUCCAUCAGCAAAGCGCUUUAUCUUAAUCUUUCCAAGUUCAAGACCCAUGUAGCAUGCAAUUUCCUAACAAAAACACAAGACCACAUCAAAAACAGUGCAUUUUAUGUGGUUAAUAUGCACAUGCAUUGGUCCUGUACUUUGGAAGAAAAUUAUUCCAAGGACAAGUCCUCUGAAUCAGAAAAUCUUCUAAUGUCCUGGGACAUAUAUCACUUCUUUAGCCUAUGUUCAACAUGUUUUGUUUAAAACCAAUUGAGGGCAUCAAACAUCAUCCCUCAUAUAGAGUAGCCUAGCUAAGAACAUGAUCAAGAAUUUUCUAUGGAGAGAAAAUCUCAAUAUCUGCCAAACGCCGUAAGGUAUUUCAGGAUGGUAAGCUUUCUCUUGGAAAUAAUAUUCCCAAUAGAAGCGUAUAUACACACCAGAAGACAAAGAGGUAACGUUAAUGGAUAUCAUCUUCUAGUUAUAUACAGCAUAGAUACAACAAAAAUUCAGAUCCAUUCUCAGACAAAGGACAUUACGUAGGCACCAAUGCUUCACGUAACACAACGACGCUACAUAAAAACGACAAACUCAAGUAAUCAACAGCACUUCUUCAUUAUUAUUAUGUGAACAGUCCUACCCCAUUUGAUCAAUACAGUUAUCACUCAGCAGUCAAAAUAACAGAAUAACAGAUAAACUACAACUGAAAACUACUAGAAAGGUGUAUAUACCUGAGAGAGGGACGGAUUAGCGGUACCGGAGAAUAUGCGGAGCCUGGUGUCAUCCUUGGUAGCUGUAGUGAGCGCAUGUCUGGUGAGGAAAUUAGGGACCAUCUCAUCGCUGCGGAGGAGGGGAAUGCUCGGCUUCCCAUUCGCGUAUUUCAGAGGCUCCCCCACACUACACCUCUGCAAGAAGCAAAUGAAAAUCGAAGUGAGAGUCUGAAAUUGAAACAAAAGAAGAAGAAGAAGGAGAGAGAGAGAGAGAGCUUACGAAGCGUGUUGGGAAUGAGGGAGAGGGAGAUGAGUAUGGAGGAAGGAGAGUGCGAGAGGAGAGAGGCGGUGAGUGGAGCAGUGAGGCCAUCUUGGGUUUGUGUUUUGGGGUUUUAGGGAAGGUUUUGAGGAGUGUUGAUGUGGGGGUGGAGUUGCAGGGAAGACAGGCGUCGCCCGUCAAUUUGGUACCAACCAACUCUAGUCUAGUCUACGAGAGCAAUUUAUAUUUCUUUGUUUCUAUUUCCCAUUUUUUGCACAGCAAAAAUACUUUUUUCUUUUUUCGGUCGAAAAAAGGGCCUAGUUUGAUGUAAGGUGUGGUACUCUUUUUCACUUGCUUGAUCGGACAGGGUUUUGAUGUAAGCAACACAGAGAGAAGGGGAUCAGUCUCUAGUCCGAAUCAUGGAUGAUAGGUGGUUGCCUAGACUAGCACCUUUUUUAAUAUGAUUUUGCAUAAUUUAACUAUUCAAAACCGGUAUGUGUCACCAAAAUUUCAUAAGAGAUCUCUUAUCAUUCCGAGAAUGAAUGCAACGUGAACCUCAUCUACCAAAAUUUUUAUUGUAAUGCUUUAAAUUUUUUUUUUUUUUUUUUUACGUAAUGAGAAAGGAGAACAGAGAGAAACAAAUGAAGCUACAGACAGCCGAGUUUCACAACAAAAUAAAGGAAAGAACUAAUGAGGACAAGAUAAACCAUCAUAGACCAAAACGUUCACCAGAGAGUUUGGAGGAUUUAAGGCAAGGGCAGCGAGGUGAUCCGUAGCACGAUUUGUCUUCUUGCUGGUCCAAAGCCAGCUGAUUUUCCGAGUUGAGGAGAUUGACAGUGCUUGAGCGAAAAGAUUGGCUACUUUCCAAUUGGAGGGAGUGAUGCCUAAUUUGAAUAUAUCGAUCAAAAUUUUUGAGUCUGAAGCAAAAAUUACUAGACCUGGAGAAUAUUGCUGAGAAGAGUUAAGCCAUCAAUGAUUGCAAUCAGUUCGGCCGUUAAUGGAGAACAGGCAAAAGUGACUCUAGUGUGGCCUGUAUAAUAGCUCCCUUGUGGUUUAUAACUAGGACUGCAAUACCUCCUAGCUUUGAUUCAGAGUUCCAUGGUGCAUCAAAGUUGAUUUUUAAACUGUUUGGAGGAGGAGGAAUCCAGAGACUUGAGGAAGUGGAAUGGUUGGAAGCAAAGGGAGUAUCAGACCUGGGUUCAAGAUGUUGACUUUUUUAUGGUUGGGCAGUGAGGAAUUCUUGUGCAGUAGUGUGAUCCCUAAGGCUAUCUGGAUUGGAUCCAGGGAUGUAUGAUUGAAGACACUUCUACAACGAUUGAUCCAUAUUCCAAAGAAAGAACGAGGUGAGAGAUUGCAAUGGCUCUUGAUAACCAAAGGGAUGAGCAAACCAUGUAGCAGAAACCCAAGGACAAGUGCAGAGGACAUGUUCAAUGGUUUCUGGGAAUUGGUUAAAGACUGGGCAAAGACUCCUAGUGAUGUGUAAACUGUGAAGGGCAUCUUUUGAGGCUAGGAUAUUAUGGAGAGCUUUCCAUGGAAAAAUUCUGAUUUUGGGGGAGUAUGGAUUUUUGCUAACCAUUUACAGGUUUUGGAAGAGGGAAAAUUUGAAUGGUUGAGAUGCACACCUGACGCAUUGUUUUCCCUUGAGACUAAAACAUGGUAGCCAGACUUGACAUAAUAAUCACCAUUUGGGUUAUGAGGCCAAAUCAAUUUAUCUGGGAGAACAUGUUGAUAAUACGAAUUGAACAGAUAUUUGUCUCGAUCUCCGGUGAGAUGAUUUCAUGGACAGGAGAUAAAUCCCAUGAUCUCGUUUGUUAGUUGAUUAGAGAGGCAACUUUGGUAUUGAUCUGCGAAGCUUUUUCCUUGCACAAGGGGGAAUGAUUGAGGCUUGGGAUCCAACGAUCUGACCACAAGUUUAUUGAAUCCUCAUUCCCUAUAUUCCAAAUGGAGUUUAAAUUGAUUAGCUCUUUAAUUUGAUUAGACAAGCAAGUGCAUUAUACUAAAAUAUCAGCUAAUGAGGAACUUUUGAUAGUCCCAAAUAUAGAUUUCGUUGAACAUAUUGAGAUAUAUCGAAAUAUAUAAAUUUUCGGAAAAAAGAGAGGCAAAAUGUAUGAAACUUAUGAUAUAGUAUAUACAAGAAAUGUACAUAUGUUAACUGGUUGUGUCUUACCAGAGUUGGUUAAAGUGUUCAUGUUCGUCCUUGGACGUCUAGGGUUUGAUUCACGUUAACUACGGUUUCAAUUUUGUCGGUGAUAUUAAGACAUGUACCGUGAUUCUCACGUUAAUUUUAUCAAUUUCGUGAUAUAUCGAGAAAUUUCUAAAAUAUUGUGCGAUAUUGUCUUGGCACCAUGAGAUCGAUAGUUUCAGACUUUCGGAAGUACAAAAGAAAAUGAUAAUUUCAACCAAAUUUUGCCAAUAUUAUCGAUUUUAAAGACCUUGAUUAAGCAACCCAAACGGUAGAAGAAAAAAUCUGUUACAACUCACUACUUAGAUCAACCCUCAUAAUGGAACAAACGUAUUAGUCAAUAUAAUGGUCUUUAUAAAUUGAUAGAGAAAUUUAUUAAUAAUUCGCCAUUCUCUAAUCUAUCACUUUACAACGUGACCUUGUAAAUACUCUUCACUUUUCCUUCUGUGUUAUUGUUCUCCCCUCUACUGAUACGUAACUUUUCUCAACAAAGCAAAAAGGCUAGCUAUGAAAGUGAAAGGGGGUCUGUUGUUGUAUGCUACUAUGCUUGUAUGUUCUUUUUCAUUAGUUAUUCCUAUCUUGACCAUACUUUAGUGUUUUUGGUGGCAAACUUAUAGGAAACUAGAAAGAAAAAAGAGACCCUACUGUCCGAAAUGCUGGGGCGCGCGAGUUCUUCUUCUUCUUCAUUUUUUUUUUUUUGUUUCGGGUGGCAGUCUGUUGAAUAAAAUUGUGAAUUGGUGGAUGAAAUGUAACGCGUUGAAGUAACGCGGUUCAUUUACUUUUGCUUUUGGUAUUCUUUUUAUUUUAUUUUUAAAGUUGCUUUUGGUAUUCUAUGAUAAGAUUCUAUCCAUUAAUUAUUAUUAUUAUCUCUUCAAACUAUUUUUGUAAUUUUCCUAUUUGGAGCCAUAUUACUUUAUUAGUUGGGUAGGAUAAUUCUAAACCAUUAUUGCUGCCUUUUCAACUCUGAAUAUCAUAAAAAAACAAAGUUGCUGAAAUAAUAAGUUUUCUUUGUUUUUGAAAGAAAAAUAAUAAAAUUAUUUAAACCAACAAACAGAAAACAAUACGAUGAUAGGUCAAGCGAGUAAAAAUUGUGGCCGAACAUGAGGAUUCAAAGCAAAAAUUGAUGAAAAUGAUUAAUUUUAUGUGAACGAGCAAUAGAAAGUAAUAAUUUAACAUACAUUUCUCUCAGCUUUUUAGUACAAUGUUCUUCUCAUUUUUAUUGUUUUUGAAAUUUCACAAGCUUUUGGGACAACAAUGUUUUGAGGAAAAUACUCUAUUCAGCUGAUAUAAAAUGACACGUACGUUUCCUUACUUAGAAUGAAAAAUAACUAUAAAUUAAAGAAAAAUGGAUAAAAAUAUAUAUUAUUUUUGGAACGAUUGAUUUAUAAACUUGUCUCCCCCUUUCGUAAACCUCAUAAGAAGAGUAGACGUACUUCUUCUGAAUAAUUUAUAUGUUAAUAAGUGCAUAAAUACUUUUACCCAGAACCACUCGUAUUCUUCUGCGUAAAAACCAUAUGUCGUCCCACCCGAAGUUGUACUGAAUUAGUUUUUCGGGCUUUUAUCCCUUUGACGUGAGUCACGUGACCAUGAAAAAUUUCACACGCAUUUGACGACAAAAAAAAAGAAAACCGGAGAGCGCGCGUUUGCGUGUGUUUUUAAUGCCGAUAAGUACAAGGAAAAAGAAGAGAGAGACUCUUAUAAAUACGAGGAGAACAACAGAGAGAAGCAAAGGAAAUUGCUUCAAGAAGAAACUGUGAAGAGUAAUAGCACACCCUCCAAUCAAUUAGGUGACCAAAUCUCUAUCCAAAUUCUCUUCUUUCUCUCUUUUGCUUCUGGUACCUGAUCUUUGAUUGUAGUGACAACUCUUUUGUGGGUUUUGGGGUUUGUUCGUUCUAGUUUUUCUAUGUUAGCUUUUUAUGAUGAACAUGGGUUUUCUUUGUUUGAGUAUGAAUGCUAAGUUGGUCAUGCAAUGUACUAAUAUAUUGAUCCACACAGAUUUUGGGGGCUCUGUGUAGUUUAGUUUUGCUCAAGAUGAAGUCUUUGUUAUUUAAAGUUUGCGUAGAAGUUCUUUAUAUUAUCUGUUUUCAAUUUUGAUAAAAGAAAUUGUGUGAAGAACAUGUAAUAGUCAUGGUUGCCCAGAUUUAAGAAUCUUUCCAAGAUUUUGGGUUGUUCUUGGUUGAAUUGAUGGAUUAGGAGGGCAGAGUAUGAUUUGAUUUAAGGGUUGCUUUGUAGAUGAUGACUUUUCUAUGUUGAGUUCUUUUGUUUGAUAUUUUGAAUUACAAUUUGAUGUAGGCAGUGGUUUCAAGUUGAAGUAAGAAGGAAGUUGCGAUGGAUAACAAAGACGAUCAGAAUAACAAAGACAAAGGGCUGUUUUCACAUCUUGCUGGAUAUGCUACCGGACACUACCCACAGCAUGGAGGAUCAUACCCUCCUCAAGGAUAUGGAUAUCCCCCACAAGGGUAUGGAUACCCCCCUGCAGGCGGCUAUCCUCCUCAUGGCGGUGGCGGCUAUCCUCCACACGGUGGCUAUCCUCCACAUGGGGGUUAUCCUCCAUCCGGAUAUCCUCCCCCUGGCGGAUAUCCACCAGCUGCUUAUCCCAGCCAUAGUGGAUAUCCACCAUCUGGGUAUCCCGGUGCACAUCAUACAGGUAACUAGUGUUUUGUGUUAUUACUUGUUUAUAUGUGAGUUGGGUUCAGCCUAGGUUGUGUCAUUUAACUGAUUACACUGUGGUGUGUAUACAUUACAAUGGCCAGUGGAUUGUGUUUUCGCCUAUCCUUUAUUUGUGUCCCUCAAAAAAAUGGAAAUCGACUAUCUGAAACUUGCCUAGUAUUUCAGAAGUAGAACCAUUGAUAGAUGCAUUUCACUAAUGAACAUGUGAAUUUUGGUUGUUUGGAGCACUAGAUUGCCUAUACCUUUCCAUGUGAUUUGAUAGAUCACCAGCAUCAGUUAAACUUCCAGAAUUUUGACUAUUAGCUGUAUAGAACCAAAAGAUUUUUAGUAGAGUAGUAUGGUACAUGUCAUGGCUUCAUUGCAAGCUUUUCUGACAAGAUAAUGUAACAGGGCAUGGGCCUAACAUGGGAGGUAUGUUAGCUGGGGGUGCUGCUGCUGCAGUUGCUGCUUAUGGGGCUCACCAUCUUGUGCACGGGAGUCACCAUGGGGGUUACCAUGGCUAUGGUCACGGGAAGUUCAAGCAUGGGAAACAUGGGUAUGGUCAUGGGAAAUUUAAGCAUGGCAAACAUGGGUUUGGUCAUGGGAAAUUUGGCAAGCGCUUUGGGUUUGGAGGCAAGUUCAAGAAAUGGAAGUAAUGUAGAUGUAAUGGUGGCUUCAAAAUCUAACUCACUCUACUGAAGAUGGAUUUGAUAUUACAAUUGGCUUUCUCAUAAUAUUACUUCAGAUGAGUUAGUUGUGGAUUUCUAUUGUUCGGAGAUUGGUAUUACCUAUUCUAGUAGUUUGUUUGCUUUUGUAAGUACAUUCAAGUUCUUUAACUAAAUAACAUAGAAACUGUUACUGUUUGCAUAGACAACUGGUGUCUUUGUUUUUUUUCAUAUCAAAGUUUUUUCGAUUAUACUUUCAUUGCUCUCGCUUCAGGAGCUAUCCUUACAAGUAGGAAUGGGUUGGCAGUUCGAUGUUUUUGUCAAAGCUAGAACUAGUUUAGAGCUUGAGCUUCACCAAGGGUAUUAGUUUAGAGCUUCACCUUCACUGCGGGCAUUGUCCCGAGAUGUUUGCUGAAAAAGCUGCAAUUUCUUCAUGGUGUCAAUGCAGUCCACACAGUUGAGCUUGAUACCUUGAGUGUUUCAAUUCAAGGACCGGCAAAGUUUAUACCACCUUCACUCAUUUCGAAUAUGAAUUCGAAGUCAUCUAAUAAGAUACCAGUGGAGAAAAAUACAUGCACUUGGCCACCAUCUAAUCAUGUAUAUAGCUAAACAUUCCCUUCCUCCAUUCCAUAUCAUUCUCCAAAUUUAGUUUUAUCAGACACUAUUUGAUUCUACAAAUCUAAAGCUCUCUUCUCAGACCAUAUUAUACAUCCAAAUUUCAACAUAAACUUUUUGUAUCACACAGUUAAUAAACAACGCAACGAUAUUUGUAGUCCAUCACAUUGGUACAGUUAGUGAGUUCUCAUGAGUGCCGAUAUGGGUGCGCACCUAAGAUGUGUUUGAAAUUAUAUAUGCAGAUCAACCACACUUUAAGGAAGAUGUUGUAUGUAAUCACUAAAUUAAGAAUUUGACUUACAGAAAUAUAGAUAUGAAUCCAAAAUUUUGAUAUAAAUACAAUCAACUUUACUGUGUAUACAAGAACAGUAGCAGUAGCAGUUGAAACGAAAUUGCUUUGAAUAAAAUACUAACUUGAUCGAUGAUAGAGGCUUGCUUACAGCAAUCUCUUAAGACAGAAUUUCGCCCCUACUGUAGUGCAUAUAGCUUUUUGGAUGUCUAUCUUGCAGGAUACAACUAUCAAAUUUUGUUUAAUCACUUCAACAAAAUUCCUGGUAAACUGUAUUUUGUGUUUCUCAGAAAAAUAUUAGGAGAAGAGGAGAAGGAUUUGUUAUCUUUGAUUUGUCUGGUUUGCUUGUCUUUUAUAGACUACGAACUGAACAAUUGCAAUGCUUCGGUAGAACUGAAAUGUUGCAAUGGUUUGUUCAAAACCAAACUCUUCCAACAGACAUAUCUGUUGCAAAAAUAAAAUCCAGAUAAAAAGAAAGAUAUUUUUUUAUUUUAAUUUACAGCACCAAACUCUUCCAACAGAUAUAUCUGUUGCAAAAAUAAAAUCCAGAUAAAAAAAAGAUAGUUUUUUUAUUUUAAUUUAAAAGCCCAAGGCCCAUAUAUAUUUGGUUAUAUAUGGAAGCCCAUAUAUAUAACUUACAGCCUAUUGACACGCAUACCAAGUGAAUAUAUAUGAAGGCUAACAUCAAAACUAUUUAUCCAAUGUGGGAGUCUCCCGCAUUUUCCAACAAGAUGGUCUCCGAUAUGGCAGAACCUACGAAUUGUUCCAACUUUUCCACCUAUUUCAAGUUUUGAAGCCCCAAAAAGAACACGUGUUAAUAGAUACAGACAGCCUGCGCACAAAUCUUAACAAGAAACAAGAAAACACUUGCUCCUCAAAAUUGUCACACAACAGACGGCAACAUCUAUCUUGGUGAUCCACCAGAAACUCAGAUAUCAUUUUGGUUAGCUAUCUCUAUCUUUCUUUCUAUUCAAUGCUUUGGUUAUCCUGGUAUUCUCUAUUUGCUGUUAACAAUUCUCUUCUGGGUUUGUGGAUGCAUGACUUUCUUCUUGUUCUUUUCUUGUUUUAUUGUUCCCUUUCAAAUGCUUCUUAACCACGUUUCCUUUGGUUAUUCCUGAAAUCUAUGAUUGCUAUGAACAUGGGUUUCUCAUUUGAAUCUCAAUGGUGGGUUGUUGGUCACUUGGUCAUGUAAUAUGUAACAUGAUCGAUUUCUAAUCCUAAGCCAAAAGUUUUUCUUUUUUCCUUUCUGCAUUUGUGGUUCUAUAUGAUUUUCUGACUUUUCUCUAUCUUUAUUGUUGAAUGAUCGGAUGUAAGGCUUUCCAUCUUUUCGAAAAUUAUGUGAUCCAUGAACAUAAUUACAUUAGGUGUUUUUGUCGUCUCAUUGUGAUCAAUAUCAAUAGCACAGUAAAAUAAGUCUUCUUAUCUAAAUUACUUUCAUGAUCUUCGAAUUACCAUCUGUUCAAGUCCUUGCUAACAGAAACAGUAUGCAAAACCAGCUUUUUAUAUUUAUAAUGAAUUAAUGAUAGUAUCAUGGGGCCAUUAUAAUUGAUUUGGUGAGUUUGAAGCUGAUGUAGAUGUUUCGUUAAAUGUCAUAGUGUGUCUGUGUACUUUUCUGCAAAUGUUUGGGACAAUAGGUAGUAUGCAUCACUUCUAUCUAGUGUUUGGAUGGUGAUGAACUUCCGACAUAUAUUGAGUUUAGCCUAGUGUAACAAAGAUGCAAAGCAUUUUGACAUAAGCAUCCGUUGUAAAGACUGAAGGCCAUAGAAGGUUUUGGUUACAUGGAGUUAAAAGUAGACACCUAACUAACAACUACCAUCGGAGUAGCUGAACCUGACAAACACCGUCUCAGAAAAAUAGUAGAAAUAGGAGGAACAUAUCAAACUAUCCACAGCCUGCAUCAAAGAAGAAUUCCCUAACCCAGCCAAGCUCAACCUUGUUUUGCUCUCGGUAAGAUAGGAGACAGGAGCAGUCCAAUCCUUCCUUCAUAAUAAUCUGACAAUUUAUAACAUGUGCAUAGGUUGGAGAAUUAGCUCAAUAGAAGGCAUGAUUCAAGCUACACUCGGAAUUGCUAGCAAUUGUUAAUCUCUUCAGGAGACUACAACGCCCUUCAAAAUUUGACCAAUUCCAAGGAUAACUGAGAACACCUUAAACCAAACUCUGCAAUCAUUCCUCAAGACUUUCCGAUUACACCUUAAACCAGAAGCAGAAAGUCUACUUAUAUCAGCCUCAACCUCGAAACUGUCUGUUCUGGCACAUAUUCUACAGUUUCCGCCUCUGCUGCAGAUGAAGUCUAGCAGGUUUGAAUUGGUACCCUUAUUGGUGUUAGUGUAAUCACAGAAAGAGAUAAAAGGUGAUGAGGUCAUUAGGCCGUUUAGGAAUAUGAAAAGCCUCAUCAAUGAUGAGUUUGCACCUUCAUGCAAAACAGUGUCAAUGAACACCAUAAUAUACAAAAAUUUGUAGACAUUAAGUUAAGCAGCCAACCUCUGGAAGUUAUAGAAAGAUGAACCGGACUCACAGUUUGGGUGAAGAGCAGCCUAACUUCUCAUAGAUGCAUUGUACUUUUUCGAUUAUAGGAUCGGUAGACUCAACACUAGUACACAUAAGACAGCAUGCAAUAGUGAGUGGCCUUUGUCUAUGCGUUCUAAAUUCAAUAGCGAGAAACGUGGCAUCAGAGACUUAUUAAUUUUGGAGGGAUUAGGUGAUUUCAUAUUGACCCCGCUGCAAGUCAUGAUCAAUGAUCAGAGAAGCGGGUCUGAUGUAUUUCAAACUGAAAUAUUGGAGGUCAAAUUCAAUAAUCAAUAUUCAACUCUCCCUUACACUAAAAGACCCUGCUGUAUGCUUCACAAAGAGUUAAGGAUUUCAAAUUUGGAGGAAUUGACUGAGCCACAGUCGAGUUAUCCUCCUUAAAUCUUCUUCGUCUUUUUUUAUGAGAAUUAAAAUUAAUCUUCAAAAUAGCCAAUACUCCAGUUUUAACCGUUUGGCAAAAUGUCAGCUCCAAGAACACUCCCAUGUAUAGAACAAAGAAUUAGAAGGACAUAAAUGAUUUUCUUUGGCAAGUUCUAUUACUGAUCAUCAUUAUCAUCUUUGCCUUUGUCAUACACAUACAUGUGCCUGAUCAUAUAAUUUCCAUUUCCGUUCUUUAUUAUAUGACAUAUCUCCCAAGAAAAUUUCCUUUUCAGGUCUUUUGAUUAUGUUUCAUCCCAUAUUUGUUGUGAUUUAUCUCUUAAAUAAUACCUUGUUUUUAACUAGGCUUCCUUCAGUUAUAGGUGCUUGUGGUUUUGUCUGCUUAUAAAUUUGUAGUGAUCACUAUUUUAUGUAUAUGUCACUACAACCUAAACAUCUCUAGGGCUCAUAGACUCAAUUUUCUAGUACCUCGAGUUUGUCUAAUGUGUUGUUAGCUGUUUCCAUCAUAAAUCCAAACAUCCUCAUCUCCUUUGCAUGGGUAUGUGCUCUUAUGUUUUCUUAUUUGGCUAGCUGAGUAGUUUAUCUUUUUCCCAGGUGGUAGUCCUUGAAAAAAUUUCAGAAUUUAAGGUUGUGUAACUUGAUUCCAGCUCAAGCUAAAGGUAUUUGAAUUUCUGCAGAACAGUUGUUGCCAGGAACUGUAACCUGUUUAUUAAAAACAUCUUGAUAAGAAGGCUCGUUUAACAAGUUAUGACCAUGGUGUUGUUUCAUAGAUUUAAUAAUUCUCAGACAUAUUCUGGACAUCUGGUAAUAAGCAUAUCUGUAAAACUUAGUGUGUCAUUUUUGUUUGGAAUCUGUUGAAAUAGUAGUCUUUGCCAAGUUAGUGUGAAGUCAUUGAGGGUUGCUUUGUGCAUGUUUCUUCUGUCUCAUUGUUUUACUCUGUGGUAGGUUUUUGUAGGCAUUAAUUUCAAAUUGAAGUAAAAUGGGAGGUGGAAAAGACAACAAUAAUGGUACUACUGACAGAGGGCUACUCUCAAGUCUUGCUGGAUUUGCUGCUGGACACAUGCCACGGCCUGGAUCGCAUUCUCAUCAAGGACACGUAUAUCCCCCACAAGCAUAUGCACCACCUGGGUACCCUCCUUCAGGUGGGUAUCCUCCUUCUACCGGGUAUCCUCCCUCAGCCGGGUAUCCUCCCCCAGCCGGGUACCCUCCCUCAGGUGGUUACCCUCCUCAAAGCGGCUACCCUCCUCAAAGCGGGUAUCCCCCAUCUGGAAAUUCUCCUACUAUGGCAUAUCCACCAGCCGGCUAUCCUGCCCCUAGUGGAUAUCCACCAGCUGGUUAUCCAGGCCCAUCAGCUCCACAUCAAUCAGGUAUUCCAACCUUUUAACUUGUCGAAGCUUAUAGAAUACAAAGUUAAAUAUAUGAGUUGGUAUUAGUCAAGUUAUAUAUAGUCCUUCCAUGUAUUUGUCAGUCAAGUUAUAUAUAGUCCUUCCAUGUAUUGUGUUGUGACAAUACAUGUUGAUUUUCCUAUCAUUUGUUUUAGUUUCCCUCUAACAAUCAACCACAUUGCACACAACCCUGCUGACAGAGUGACAAUAUUAAGAUUGCCAGCAACCAAACUUAACAACUACUCAUGCAAUCCAGUCCAAACCAAUGUUUUCUCAUUUGGAAUUUUGACGAGAUUGUCUCUUUUAGUUGAUGCGCUUCUAACUUUGGUCUCUAGAGAACAUUUCAAGUGUCAAUGAACAAAACCAGUGUUCAUGACUUAGAAUGUAGUUAGAAGGCAGUUUGUAGAUCUGUAGAGUUACAUAUACUGUUUCACUUUGUUUUGGUAGGUGAAAAGCAGCAGUACGAGUUUCAAAAUAUUUUGAUGUCACUGUGUUGCAACUCAAGUAGAAUGAAAAGGCCCUCUGUGGAGUAAGGGUCAAGGCACCAACUAUAUUUAUGGCAAUUUGUGCUGACUAUUGCAGGGCAUGGAUCUGGUAUGGGAAUGGGAACUAUGUUAGCCGGUGGUGCUGCUGCUGCCGCUGCAGGUUAUGGAGUUCACCAUCUUGCGCACAGUAGUGGCCAUGGAAGAGGUUCCCAUGGCUUUGGUUUUGGGGGUUCCCAUGGCUACAAACAUGGAAAAUUUGGAAAGCAUCAUGGGGGGAAGUUCAAGCAUGGGAAAUUUGGAAAGCAUCAUGGGGGAAAGUUCAAGCAUGGGAAAUUCAAAAAGCAUCAUGGGGGACUGUUCAAGAAAUGGAAGUGAUUUGCAUUGAGAGCUAAAGUUACUUCCAUUGAUUCUCUUGCUCUACAAUUGGCGUUCUUUUGUCAGUUCCAUCAGCAUUCUGCGACUCGUUUACUGUUAUAUAUUUCAAAGUAUGUAUGAUAAAUAUUUCAUUUCUAGUGCUUAAUCUUCCUACGAUGUAAAUAUGUUCCUGUUCUUUAACCAAUAUGCUUAUAUGCAUGAAAGUUGUUUCCUAUAAUCUUUUUGUUUGAUACUACUGUUAUGAGCUUAUUCUACAAUGUGCCACACAGGAGGGAUUAGGGUUCAGGCAUCAAUGACAAUAUUGUUCUUGGCGUUCCUAUUUUUGGAUAUUUUUUUAGCUUGGUUAGAUUUGCAUAUGGAGCCUUCUUAUUAAGGGUUUGCAUUGUUUUCUGGACCUCCCAACUUUGUAUCCUAGUCACAUUAGCAAAGGCUAAAACACCAAACAUAUAUGACUGGGAAGCUUUUUAAAUGCUGUAUUACAUUUGCUCUGCAACAGAAUUGUAUUGUAAGAGGUGAAGCAUUUUCAUAAAAGGUAGAAACAACUACAUAUGCAAAUGAUGCAUGUUGUCCAGAAAUCAUGCAUCGACUGAUCCAAUACAUAACACCAGAUGAAAUAAUUCACUCAAGCAUCUACUACAGGUUUCAUUAAACUAGACUUAAAAUCUCAAAUCUUUAGUGUUACAUGCAUGUUUUGUUUUAGCAUAAUAUAUAACAGUUAAGCCUAACAAUAUAUUGUUCAAUUGCUAAUGUGGUGGAUGGUAUAUAACAAUUAAUCAACAUAUGUAUUCAAACAUGAGGAAGAGGAGGUUUCUAUGUAUAGUAGCCAUUUCUGUUUCUCAUUUCUUUUUUGUCUCAUUGAGCUAGCUGAGUAAGCUGAUGCCUCUUUCAUUGGAUCCAUUUCUGGGUUUUUGACUAAUGAAGUAUGUCAAUCAUCUCAAAACUCAUAUAGUAUAUCAAAGUCUAGCUUGGUUGUUGGAUCCACUCACAUAUACAAAUCCUAUGCUUAAUGUAAAAGCAAGCUAGGAUUACACAACUGAUGCAGUCAAAGUCAAGAACCAUUUGCAGAAUACAACUUAUUGAUCACCUACUCUGCAACAAGUUUCCCAUGGUUUUUCUGGGUCUUAUCCUAUUCCUCCUGGCUUUUAUGCUAUUUUAUUUCAUUUUCCUAAAUUUUAUUUCUCCUCUCUUUCUGUUUAUCCACAAGAAUAGAUUUGAAAAAUUGGAACACCUUUUGGGUUGUGCAUGUUCUUGCAAACUGAGUGGUUCAAGUGAGGGUCCAUAUUGAUCCUGCUCUCACAUGCAGUACAGUCGUCUUAUGUGCAUACCCCUUUUGGUUUUAUUAAAAUUGUGCUUGUUUUGUUGACUCUACUUGUGUGGAUUCUGGUUUUAUUAACUCAAAAACAACUUUGGUACGUAGUGACAUUCCUACCUGCUAAAUAUAAUCAGUAUCUUUCAUAUCUGUCCAACAAAAAAUCGCAACAAAUAUUUCCAACAGUUUAUAUCCUUCCACACUCCUGACAACAAUAGUGAGAUAACAGUAAUAAAUAUUGUAAUGAGCAGAUUUCUUCGAUAUAAUAAACCAAAUAACACUAUAUAUAGAGGUUGUUUGAACACGAGCUAUUAAAGAUAAUAGAUGAUCAGUUUGCUGUUUGGAGUUUGUUUGUUACUUAUGUAGCGAAAUGUUAAUGUAUGAUAUAAUUUUGCUAGACUUUUGCUUUGGUGUACAAUUAUACAAGUUAAUGGGUUGGAUUCUUGAUUAAGUAAAAGAAAUGAGCAAGAUUUCAUUGUCAAAAUAGAUAGGCUUAUCAAAACCUAGAAGAGAUUGUUUCUCUCUUCCUUUGCUCGAUAGCAAGAAAUUAAGCAGCCAAUAAGUAUACCAUGUUUGAGAAGUUGACAAAUAGCCAAUGGGAUGCUCCUCACAUGCAUUUUUCAGUGUUGCCAAAUAUGGUGUGACAUCUUACGCCCUGCUCUCUAAUUUUGAAUCAUCUAAGAACAAGAUGCUCCCAACAUGAUUUGAGGUCUUGUCUUGUCAUCGGCCAUAUUUGAUAUUUCAGUUAAGGGCACCCACUAUGUAAUAUAUCUCCUUAUCUCCCUUUGUAUUAUCGUGGGACAAAGUAACUUAAAGCCUUGUAGUUGUUUAUUUUUUUCUCCUCAGAAUAGAUUGUAGUUGAUAUAGGAAAAGUCUCGAACCAAAUAUAAUCCUUUUUGGAAAUGGUAAUCACAAAUAAUUAAUUUGAAAAAAUAUAGAAAAAGAGAGAGUUUAAAUGCAUAAGUCCGAACCGGUUUGGAACAAGUAUUUUCCCUCCUUGAAUAUUUUUGCCUAAAAAAAAAAGUAAAAAAGAAGAAGAAAAUACCAACAUGAUGUAAAAGUACUCAUGCUCCGAAACCCAUCAUUUUCAGCAAGUAGCCCAACUAUCCUCCAUAUUUUAAAAAAAAAAUAAUAAUUCAUUUAUAUAAUCAAAAGCCAUUACAAUGACCACAAAGAUCAUAUAGACUUUUUAUGUACUCUUUCUUGGACUCUCUCUAAGAUUAUCCUUUUGCCUAGCUAUUGACCCUCAUCUUCUUCUUGUCUUUCAAAAACAAGAGCUGCUGCGCUUUUUCCCAUUCCAAAGCCUCAUUGGAGUAAAAACGAAAAACAAACAAAGAAAAAAGGCAAAAUUAUUUUUUCCAAAGGUUCUUUUGCUUUUGUCUGGUCUUUAGUUGCUCUCCAUCUUUUUCCAAAUUCAUCAUGUCACAAGUUUUUGUUAGAUAAAUGUGGUUUCUCUCGCAACGACGGAUAAGUGAUAUGCUUGUAGAGGAUGCAUAAGAAGGCAAAAAUUGUGAGAUAUUAUGUAUGUGUGUAAAAUAUGAUACAUAUAGUUAUUCCCACAUUAGGAUCAGAAGAUUUGAAGGUCAUGCAUCUAUUUCUAAUUUUCUACUCUCCAAUCUCAAUUGUACCUUACUUAUACUUUUUGACACAUCAAGUUUUAUCAGCUAAAAACAAUAAAAUUAAUAUGAAAUUGAGUAGGAAAAUAUAACAAAAAUAUGGAAAAAAAGGAAGAAAAAAGCAGAACAGAAAUUUAUCAGUAUACGUCGUCUCCAUACGUGGUGACCUGUUCUGAUAGUCAAAAAAGAAAUAUUAGUUUCCAAUCCAAAAUUUCUAGCUUAAUCAGCAAUAAGUGAACAUGUUUUAACCUCAAAAGAUGUACGAGGAACAAAAAACUAUUAAGGAACAAAAUGUUCAAAAUGUAUUUUUAUCAUUUUUAUAAAUGACAAAGUAUUAAGAAAGAGAUGAAGUCACAAUGGAGUGGGAAAAUGAUUUCCAUUGAAUAAGUGUAGUGGUAGUAGUAGACCUGUAAAUGGACCGGAUCUUGAUCCAGACCUGCUCCGGAUCCAUGGUUUUUAAACGGGUUUGGAUCGAAAAUUAGACUCGUUGAUCCAUUAAGGACCCGGAUCCGUUAACCCGUUUAUUAAACGGAUCGGAUACGAAUUGAGGUUGAUCCAAUCCGUUAAGGACCCGGAUCCGUUUUAAAAUAAUUAAAUAAUAUUUUUAUAAAUAUAAUAUUAUUGAUAAAUAUUCAAUAAUAUAAUAAUUAUUUGGAUAACCUAAACGUCUAAAUUGCAUCUAAAGUAUGAUCAUUUGAUGAAGUUGAAGAUUACUUAUGCGUAUAUUUUUUUUAUGCUCUUUGCUAAUAAAUACAUUGGGGGUCUAGUAUUUUGAAUAUAUUAGUUUAUUGUUAAGAAGUAUUUUGGCCAUGUAAUUCAAUUUUUAAUGUAAACCUUUAUUUUGUUAUAAUAUUUCAUUAGUGUUUUAUGAAAAUUUAUGAUAAAAUAAAAAAUUAUUAUUUAAAAUUUGAAAAUAUUUAUUAUUAUAAACGGAUCGGAUUAACGGGUCAGGUAUCCGUUAACCCGCUGGAUCCGGAUUUGGAUCUAGCUAUCAAAGAUCCGACGGGUAAUGGGUCGGAUCCGGAUCCAAAAUUUCUAUUAUGGAUCCGGAUCCGGAUCUAGGUCGAUCCGCUCCAGAUCCGGUCCAUUUACAAGUCUAAUCAUAACAGAGUAAGAUGUUUAGCUACAAAAGGAAAGAAGAUGUUGAGAGACCUGAUCCAGCUUGUCAUUGAUUGUGACUCGUAAAGACCGACUCCCGAGUCCUCAUACUUCAUCCAGUUCUUCUUUUUACAUAGAAAUAACACCUUUUUUAAUUGACAUAGAAAUGUCAUCUCUGUUAUAACAAAGCUGAGCGUUCAACAAAUUUACUAAAUUGUGAUUUGUCUAAACUAUCCAUAUAUUAACAAAUUCUGAUAUAGAAACAAGAGGGAUAUUAGAGAAAUUUUAUUAACAUAUGCCUAUUUUCUAGAUACACAUCCCACGUUUUUAGUAAAUUUUAUAUUUCUAUUUUACUCUUUUCAAACAAAAUACUAAUCAUACUUUGAUACUCAAUCACAACAAGAACCCACCAAAGUCAAGUACCCAGGUUGCAACCGUCAGAGGCCGAUGGUAAAGAGGUAUUUGGUCACCAAAGGAAUCUUGUUUGUUGGGUUACAACCCAGAGUAGAUAAAUAGAGGGAAAUCACUACAUGCCUUAAAAUAUGCACUACCAAAAGAAAAGCUUUAGCCGACGAAAAUAAAAAAACCAGGUAGACGAAUUUUUUUUAGCCGACGAAAUUUUCCUUCAUCGGCUAAUUUAAAAUUUUCGUCGGCUAUGGUCAACUUUAGCCGACGAAAUUAAAAUUUCGUCGGCUAAAUAAUUUUUUUCGUCGGCUAUAGUCUGUGAACUUUAGCCGACGAAAUUUUCAAAAGUUUAGCCAACGAAAUUUUCAAAAGUUAAGCCGACGAAAUUUUUAAACUUUAGCCGACGAAAAAUAUAAUUUCGUCGGCUAAAAUACCUUAUAUUUGCAGAUUUGGACAACAACUCAUCUGGAAAAAAAAAAACUAUACGUAGAACCUUCAAACGCAAAAAGUCGUGAAAUAAGAUAUGACCAGAAUGGUGAAAUACGUCUACGGUUGAAAAAUCACAGUAUUCCGGUAAAGUCUCGGUGCCGAUAGUUGACUUACCCUUAUUAUUCAUUAUGUUGUAGAUUUGGCGUUUGGUGUCUGAUUGACUAUUGUGAUGCCUUUUCGGAAGUGUAACGGCCUUACGAGUCAAACUCAUGGCAUUAGCCAUGAUGUAUAGGCCUUUUUGGCCAUCCGAGUCCGUUUAGGGCUUCAAAAUACAGUUUUCUUAUUUCCGAUUAGAGUUGACCGUUUCAAUCGAGCCCUUAACGUUGUCGGAUCCAGUUGAAUUUUUUACCAUAGACAUCUUUCGUCAUAAUGAUCAUAUCUGACGGUCGAAUUUUGGUUUGUGAAUCUUAGUCAUCGGAAUCACAACGUGUCUACUAUUUACCGUUAUUCGGGUUUAUGGGGAGCCCUAUCGUCGGAAGGUAAAUGUCUCAAAAUUUUUAUAUGGGCAGUUGCGUCUCAUCUACAUGAGAGUUUUCGUGUGGAAGGUUUGACCAAACUACAUAAUAUAGAGGGAGAUAUGAGCGUUUUCGUGUGAUAACUAACGAUGGAUUAGGGUUGACCGUUUCGAUCGAGCCCUUAACGUUGUCGGAUCCAGUUGAAUUUUUUACCAUUGACAUCUUUCGUCAUAAUGAUCAUAUCUGACGGUCAAAUUUUGGUUUGUGAAUUUUAGUCAUCGGAAUCACAACGUGUCUACUAAUGUUGUAUAACUUGUUUAGUAGGUUAUACAACUUUGUAAACCAACUCUACAUAGGAAGCAAAAUUAUCAAAAAUCUCGUGAAAUAAGAUGUGUUCAUAAUGGUGAAAUACGGCUAUGGUUCAAAAAUCACGUAAAUCGGGUAACGUCUCGGUGCAGAUAGUACCGGUCAACCAUAUUUACCGUUAUUAUUCCUUAUGGGGAGCCCUAUCGUCAGAAGGUAAAAUGUCUCAAAAAAUUUUAUAUAGGCGGUUGCGUCUCAUCUACAUGAGAGUUUUUCGUGUGGAAGGUUUGACCAAAACUAUGUAAUAUAGAGGGAGAUACGAGCGUUUUCGUGAAUUUAUAGACUUUAGCCGACGAGAUAUUAAAAAAGUCGUCGGCUAAGGUCAAAAAUUGUUUGGCGGUAAACCAAAUUUGGAGGAAAAUUUUCAAAUGACUUUAGCCGACGGAAAUAUAUGAAAAGUCGUCGGCUAAAGUCGAAAAAAUAUUUGACGGCAAACCAAAUUUGGGAGAAAAUUUUCAAAAUUUUCAAAGGACUUUAGCCGACGAGCUUCAUUACUUUAGCCGACGAAUUUCACAAGUUUCGUCGGCUAAAGUCUGUUUCCGCCAAAAAUUUCGGAAAAUUUCAAACCUCCUUUAAAUUUUUAGCUCUCUCUUUAACCUACUCCCCUCAAACAUCUUAUCUUCUUCUUUCUCUCACCAAGAACUUCACCCAAUAACUUUUUCUUCUCUUCCCCACCGAAACAAACCCACUCACUCUCUCUUUCCUCUCCCUCUUCUCCUCCUCCUCUCCCUCUCCUCCCUCUUCCAACUCCUUAGAUCGAUCUUGUCACAUCCCGACCCUUAUANNNNNNNNNNNNNNNNNNNNNNNNNNNNNNNNNNNNNNNNNNNNNNNNNNNNNNNNNNNNNNNNNNNNNNNNNNNNNNNNNNNNNNNNNNNNNNNNNNNNCAUGGAUUGUUGGUGUAAGGGGUGAAGGAACAAGUGGCGGCACCCUCACUGGUGGAGUCCUUGCUUCCUGCAAUGAAAGCCUUUCUUCUUGCCUCUCUGUAGGGAUAGAACAAGCCCAUAUCUAUCGUACCCUUUAAGUACCGGAAGAUUGUCUUUAUGCCAGUCCAAUGGCGUUGCGUGGGCGCUGAGCUAAAUCUAGCUAACAAGUUUACAGCAAAUGAGAUGUCCGGUCUUGUGCAUUGAGCUAAAUACAGUAAUGCACCUAUUGCACUUAGGUAAGGCACUUCAGCCCCCAAGACUUCUUCGUCCUCAUCCUUUGGACAAAAUGGAUUCUUUUUUGGAUCUAGGCUGCGGACGAUCAUGGGAGUGCUAACAGAAUGAACUUUGUCCAUGUUAAAUCUUCUUAACAUUUUGUGGACUAAUAUUCCACUACUACGGUGCUCUAGCUCUAGUCCUAGGCAAAACCGUGUCUUCCCAAGAUCUUUCAUCUCGAAUUCGGAUUUCAAAUACUUUGCAGUGUCCUUUAACUCAUCAAGAGUCCCAAUAAUGUUCAUGUCAUCAACAUAGACAGCGACAAUUGCAAAUCCGGAACUUGUUUUCUUAAUAAACACGCAUGGGCAUAGUUCAUUAUUCACAUAUCCCUUCCCAAUCAAGUAUUCACUUAGACGAUUAUACCACAUACGUCCAGAUUGCUUUAAUCCAUAUAGUGAACGUCUCAACCUUAUUGAGAAUGCGCUCCGUGGUUUAGAGCUACUUGAUUUGGGUAAUGGAAGUCCAUUAGAAACUUUCAUAUAUAUCUCUAAAUCCAGAUCCCCAUAGAGAUAUGCAGUAACCACAUCCAUAAGCUGCAUGUCAAGUUUUUCAGAAACCACCAAACUGAUAAGGUAGCGGAAAGUUAUAACGUCCAUUACAGGAGAGUAUGUCUCCUCGUAGUCAAUUCCAGGGCGUUGUGAGAAACCUUGCGCCACAAGGCGGGCUUUAUAUCUUAAUACCUCAUUCUUCUCAUUUCGCUUUCUAACAAAAACCCAUUUAUGUCCCACAGGCUUUACAUUUGGCGGGGUUAGCACUACCGGGCCAAAUACCUGUCUCUUUGUUAGUGAAUCUAAUUCAACCUGGAUUGCUUCUUUCCAUUUGGGCCAAUCUGCUCUCUGUUGACAUUCUUCAACAAAGCGAGGUUCGAUAUCAUCAUGUUCUAUGAUUUCCUGUGCAACUGAGAAUGCAAAUGCAUCAUCAAGGAUCACAGAUUCUCUAUCCAGUAUCUCAUGUACGCUAGCAUAAUUCAUUGAGAUCUCUUUAUUCGCUGUACUUGGAUCAACCGUUGGAAUUNNNNNNNNNNNNNNNNNNNNAAUAUAUCAUUCGAAUAGCAAAGAGAAGCAAAUGUUUACAGAGUGAUCACUGUUUUUAUUUUAUUUUUUUAUUUUUAUAGAAUUAAUGAAAAACUUCAUUAAUAGUUCCAUAAGGGGAUGAAACCCAAUGGAGAAGCCCAAAAGAGGCCCAUAAUACAAUAAUAAGAGGAAAAUUUACCACUCAGCCUAGUCCACAUAGAUAGAGUAAGUGAGGGUAAACUCUAAAAAUAUCCUAUAUUAAAGAUGCAAAAUAAAAAGUGUGCUGAAAUUUACACACCCAUUUUUUUUCUGUAAUCAACACACCCUUGUGCUGUAUUUACCAAAUCAUCCUUAGCUGAUUUAUCAAAUACUCUCUCGGUCUCUCCUACUCUGUCUCUCCCCAAUGUUCUUAUCAGACUGAUCCAAAUCUCAGUCCCCCACAACAAGCAUAACUAAACCCACCCCUUACCGCCUCAACCAUCUCAAUCUCUUUCGCAUUUUGGCCCCGGCGGUGAUCGAGGGCUUAAAUUUCGGUCCCGGUGGUGAUUGGGAAAUUUUACAACCGAGAGGGAAGUUCGAGCUCGCGACGGAGCUUGUCAGAGUCAUCAAGGCGGAGGACGCAGUGGGGCUGCCUUUUCAGUUUCUUCGCUUCAACUUAUUCUCCUCGUGGGAUUUAAAUGUAGUGAGAAUGAUGGGAAUAGUAAUCAAGGAAAGGAUGUUGGAUCGAUCAAUGGUGGAUUAUAUAUAUAUAUAUAUAUAUACCCCUUUUCAUUGAGGGAUCUUUAUUUCUGGCCACUUUUUAGGGAUAGGGCAUUACACCACUUCCCAAUUUAAUUUUUACAUCUCUACCGUUCAUAUCUUAGGUCUAUAUGAGUAGAUCACCUUUACAAAAUUUCAUAUGAUUUGGUGAUCGUUAAGGCUUUCAAAAGUUUGAUUUAGUUUUAAUGAUCUUGAACGGUCCAACUUAUGUCAAACUAAAACCGUUGAAGGUCAUUAAAACUAAAUUGAACUUUUGAAAGUCUUAACGAUCACCAAAUCAUAUGAANNNNNNNNNNNNNNNNNNNNCUAUAUGCUACGCCAUUAAGGUGAACAGACACAUAUGGCUAGCUAGCAUUUAUAUACAUACUCUCUCAUAAAUACAUAUUUAUAUCCACCGAAAAUCUCAUUUUCGGUAACUCUCCAAGAGAAAAUAAAAAUCGUCAAAUUAAAAUGACGUUAAAAUAUUCCGCAACAUUAAUUGUUCAACCAUGAACUAUAGCAUGCAUUUAUUUAAAAUAAACGUCCACUCACAAAUUAGGCCUAAGCCUGAUGUCGAUCUGGGGCCUCGUCUGCUCGAGCCUCCUCACGUCCUGUUCCAAUAUAAUAUUAAUUUCCCAACCAAAAAUCCAAUAUUUAAUCAAAAUAGGCAAAAUUACCCGAGAGCCAUAAAUACGCUCAUCAUUGCCUAAUUUCGAUAUUCUUAAAUCGGAACGAUUCGAACUUAAAUAUCAUACUCAUCAGUCGUAAAUACAACCUCCCCAAAAUACGACUUAAAUCUUACGGCCGAAUUCUACAUUAAUUAACCGCCAAAAAUACCAAACUUCGGAAAUUCACAAACCUAUCCAAAUCUCAUCCAAAAAUUCCAUAAAUCACACCAAUAUACUCCUCUUAAUAUUCCACAUUUAAAACCCUAAAAAUCUCCUAACCGGCAGCGGCGGCCGGAGGCCAAUUCCGGCGACCUCCAAAACCUAUGAAAUUUUGACAGAAUAAUCUCCUCAUCAUGCUCUACAACUUUCAUGACCAACACAUCACCCAAUUCCAAGCCUAACUAGGCUAAUCGAACAAAAACAACUUAAAAGCCCUAGAAAUUUCAACUCCACAUUUCUCCUUACCUAGCUCAAGAGGGAGUGAGCUGAUUGGAGGGGUUGCUGCACGGGAGGAGGGCUACAAAACCGUACCAAGCUUGCCCGGAUUGGUGGCCGGAGGAGGGAGUUCCGGCGACCGGAAGUUCGGGGCAGCCUAGCCUUUCGGGCAGCACCGCUCUCUCACGGCGGCGCUAGGGGGGCUGUCACCGGUCCUGGAAGAUAGCUGGGUCGGAGACCGAUCGAUUGGGACCGGUGCGGCGGUCUGGGGCGGCCGGACGGCGGCGGUCUAGCGGUCAGAAAAUCGGACAGCGGGAGGGGGUUCGGGUGCGGGAAAACCGGGAGGAAAAAGAGAGGAAAAGAGAAUGGGUUUGGGCCUCACACCCCAAACCGGUCCAUCACCUAUAUACUACCCAAUUCUAAAAUAAAACACCCCGAAAAAUAAUACCCGAAUAAAAAUUACCUUUUACUAGCUAAAUUACUAUUUUACCGUCGUCGUAUUUUCCUCAUACGAAUAAUCCUCCGCACAUAAUCGUCCCCGAAACCCCUCUAGGGACCAAUUAACUAUUAACUCAAUGACGGAGACGGUNNNNNNNNNNNNNNNNNNNNUAUAUAUAUAAAGCUUUCAAUGAACAAGCAGACUAAGAUGGUGGGAGAUGUGAGAAGUUGGUAACCCAUUUUCAACGAGAGAGAUUAAUUGGUAGUAUUGGGGUGGGAAGAAAGUGGCUAAUAAUAUUGAACACUUGAACAUGAUUGAGGGUGAUGAAAUUUGACGACGAACAGGAUUUUGAGCAACGUCAAAAUUCGCUCUUCGUUUUCCAUUGAAGAAAUUGCUUAAGCUUACCACAAGGUCGGAAAGAAUGCCGGGGCCGCCACCAAGACUCUUGCUCUCCGCUACUAACGGCGGCGAAGGAUCCUUCGACAGCGAUAUUGGAAAGAAGAAUAAAACGAAGUAGGCAGAUGGGAAUUGUAACUCUACGGGGGAAUGGUAGUUUUGGAAGAUGAGUUAAUAAAGAGUAAUAAAAAAUUAAAAGGUGUGUGGAAUAUAAAAAAGGCUGUGCAAAUUUCAGCACCUAAUAAAAAACCUAAACUUAGGAUUCUAAGAUUAGGUUGGAAAUGCUCGACAUCAAUUAUUAGUACUAGUACAAUUUUCCAUUAGUGGUAGGAGAAAUUUUUCAGACAUAUGGGACAGUCGAUGUUAACCAAAUAUGUUUCCACUUCGGACAUUGUAUGCAAAAGGUUAUCACAUUCAUAUUAUUGAACUCAAAAUGGUUUGAUAACCACAAGUAUUAACUGUAUUAUUGAAUGUCCUGAAUCAUCAUGUCAUGAAAAGAAAAGAAGAUGACCAUUAUUGGAGGUCCUCAAUCACCAUAUGGAAUCGAUGUUAUAACAAACUAAGCAUCAGAAAUUAAAAAACAAAACGAUGUCAAUAAUUCGCUUUUUUCAUUUCAUUCAUACAACUCACAAGUUGGAAAUAAUUAGCCAAAAUCAUGUAUAUAUUUUCCCUACGAAUUUUUGCAUUCAUCACGUACGAGGUUGGAAAUUGCAAUACUUUAGAACGUCCAAGGAUUAGGUUGAAAAAUUCUACAAUACUAAGAUGUUGCUCGAUCAUGUAUCAGAAGCUAGCCUGCCGAUUUGGUGAAGUUCCUAAAAUCUUGAUCUCUAGAGGCACCA